UCAAAGUAAGGAGGAUGAGCAGCAGUUUUGGGCGCUUUAGGCUUCUUUUCUUUAGGAGCUUUAGGCUUUUUCUCCUUAGCAGGCUUCUCGGCUGGCUGCUCCGCAGGGGGAGCAUCAGCCGGAGGCUGCUCAACGGCAGUUUUCUCAGCAUCUCCGGUGGCCGACAUCGCGAAGUGUCACAAGAAACAACGACAGAGUGAACGAUACGGUAAUAACCUUUCUGACUUUGCGUGAAUAAUUUUCCACGUAGCUGUCAGCAUUUAUAGGAGGGAGCGAUCUGCGUGAAAUGGGGUUUCUGGAUUCUGAUUGGUCAGCUAAGAGUGACGCGGAUCGAGGAGUUUUAGAAUCAGUGUUUUGAAUCGUACACGUGGGCGAUUAUGGGUUGUUGAUCGAACACUGAAUAGGAUUUUUGGGGUGCCAGUCUUGUCUGGAAUGGAUACUUCAAUACUAAGGCCGCUGGUAUUUUUUCACGCAUAGCUUGUGAGAGGGGUGUGUUUUCUUGGUGCAUUUGGGGAUAAUUUACAGAAGCAUUUUUUAUGAUUUGGACUUGGAACUUUUAUGAGGAUGAAAUUUAGAAAAUUCUGGUUGUAAUGUGGGUGGUUUGAGGUAAAUUGGUUGGAAUUUGGGUGGGUUUUGAAGGCGUCAAAUACAAACAGUUUGAAGUUGCUUCUUCAGGCUUAGUACUGCCUUUCUGGAACUCCAUUACUCCGUAUCAUUUAUCUUCGUAGUUAACAAACCAGCUAGAUGGAGGAUUUACCCCACACUCUUUUAGAUUCGUUUUUGUAAAAGGUCAAAAGAAAUGUAGAUGAAACAUCCCAAGUAAAAACCAGCAGAUCCAAGUUGUACAUCUACUUUUGAUGUAUUGUGGUGACAAGGCUCUUUUAUUUUAGGAUAAUAAAAGAAUCAAGAAUCAUUUUUUAUUUUUUAAUUUUAGAAUCUUCUAUUUAUAAUCUCUCCUAUCUUACCAUCUAAACCAACUCUAGAAGUAUGCUAAUUUUACAUCUACAUAAGUUAUCAACAAAAUGAUGAGUUUAUGUAGAUGUAAAAUUUGACCUAGUUUGACUCGUCAUGAAUUAAAUAGAUUGUCUGUGUCGCUUCUCACGUGACAAGUAUAACAAAAAUCUUAGGACUUAUUCUUGAUUAUUUAGAUAUUACAAAAUUUGAUUAUAGAAAUUAAUCAUACAGAACAAUCACAAUCAGCAACAACUACUCAUUUGGUGAUUAUAGAUUUUAGUUUUUUUAAUCAUUAAAAAACCAAAAAUCAUAAUACAAAAGGAAUCGAAAAACAUCACAAAAACUAAUUAUUCAAAACAAUUUACAAUCAGGUAAAAUAGCUACUUUUUAGGUGAUUAUAGAUUUUAGUUUUUUUUUAUCAUUAAAAAAUCUAUAAUCAGAAUAAAAAAAAAAUAGAAAACAUCACAAAAACUGAUUAUUCAAAAUAAUUUACAAUCACUUAAAAUAAUCAAUCUAAAACAAGCCCUUAAUUCUGAAUCAUCUAUUGCUAUUCCUUGGUUUGUUACUGGAAACCGACAAUUGAUUCAAUCAGCUUCAUUAAAUUUUCUCUUACCGAACUAAUGUAGUAAGUAGAUACUGACCAAAGAAAGAUUACCGGCAGUUCUGAUUAGGAUCAUGGGAGCGAUUAAGCAGAAGCGUCAACCCAAAUUGAAAAGAGACCUACACCUCCUCUUUGUUAUCCGGUUCAAAGUUCAAAUUACGACGUCAGAGAAACGCUGACCCGUUAAAUAAGCGACCAUUGUAAGAUCUCAUACUCAAAACGGCCGCUGUUCGGUCUUCGAACCACCCAAAAACGCCAUAGUUUCCCCUCUUAAAACCCGCUACGCUCACCGUUUAUACUACUACAACUUACAGCUACAAAAAUCGAACGCUCCAAAAAAAAAAAAAAACUAGUAGUAAAAGACUGAGGGAGGAGGAGGAUUCGGCCGUCGAAUCUCAACCUCUUUCUCCCUCUCGAGCAGAGCUGCGAAGAAUCUGGCUGCAUUCCGUCAUCUCUCUCAGCUCUGUCUCUCGUGUAAGUCUUGACGAAUCAAAUCAAGUUUUUUUUUUUUUUUUUGCUUCGCAUUUAGACAUUCCGAUCUGCUUAGUUGCUUAUUCAUUUCCUCAUUUUAGGCGUUUUCCGGCGCAUACUCUUAACCUAGCUUUCCGAUCUUCUGCAUUUCAGAUUUCAUACAAGUCUUCUCGGAUUUUUCUUUUUUAUUUUUUGAAAUCUUAGCUGUGUGAAAAAAGAGCUUAGAUGAAGCUGCAUUACUUAUUUUUUAUCAUAAGAACGUCGUGCGUUUAUUUCUGAAUUAUGCAAAUAGUUGAGUAAGUCAGAGUACAGGAAAUUGGUCAAUGAUUUAGUUCAUUACUCUUUGGAUUACCUUUUGGUUUUCAUGUUGGUGAUAUUACGUUUUUAGAGGUUUAAAUUAGCUGUUGCAGAUGUACUUUUUCAUAAUGAUCUGGAAAUUACUUUUAGUCUGGUGCUUGUUUGUACUUAAUACAGUAUGUGUUUAUGUAGCUUUUAGAACUAAAGUUGCUUUUAUUUCCUGAAAUUACUUUAUGCCGUUUAAGUUUGCUGUAAAAUUGGCUUCUGAACUUUCCAACUCCAAAUUUGUCAGUAAGUGCCUUCACAGUAUAGGAGUAUUAUUUAGUCUUUGACUCAUGAGUCCAACUGUAAGAGAUACCGUUCUGUGCUGUAUUUGUGCUUGGCUACUUGAUUAGGAGAACUGGGAAAGCAAAAAUAUAGCUGGUGGUUCAAUGAGGAGUUGGGGGGGGGGGGGCACGGCUAUGUUGGGAAGAAAGAAUUAUGAGUUUUGAGGUAAUUUAGGGUGAAUAUUUGAGUCUCAUUGGGAACGUCCAAGAACACUGUAUGAAUUUGAAGGUGUAACUUGUUAUAUGUUUUGCUAGAUGUUGAAUUUUUUAGUUAUUUUUAUCGCAUGCAUCCAAUCCUACUAAAAGUUCAGCGAACUUAUUACAUGUGCUCAACAAAGUGUAGCUCAAGCUCUGGGUGACUGCAAAGUACUUUCCAAAGUUAAGAUUCUGUAGUAUUAGUCUGGACAAAUGAAAUGUUUAGUAUUUAAUCAACAAUAUCUAGUCCAGAAAUGACUCAUCAACUGAACAUUUUCGAGCUUCUGAUAGCUUUAUUGUUUUACGAUCUGCAUUUUUGGAAUAUUUUCUUUAGUUUUCAGAUUGUCUAAGAAGUGAUAUUUUUCCUUCUGCAGAUAUUUCCUUUUCAGAAAUGGAUUAUUAGUUUCACCAGCUUGGCUAGUGAUGGUAUGAGAUUGUACUUUUCACCGUCCAGUUCUCACAUUUCUGUUUCUUAACAUUCUUUCACUUGACAUGCUUUAACUAAUGAUGGUUGAUGUGCUAUUAAGAAGGGAUUGACUCCUUGCAUGGUUACUACCCUGUCUUGAUUUACAUCUUGUUGCAAUUGAUACAUGGAAUCAAAGAUGACUACAUGAUAAUAUUAACUUCAGAUACAAAUUUAUUAAUCCUGUACCUUAAUAAAUUAAUAAUUGACUGGCUAGCUUAAUAUCUCUUGCAUAAUGCUUUUUCUCAUUUCUCUUUUCGCCUUUGAAGUCUUCGUUGUCAAACUGUCACAAUGAUACCUGAUUGUGCUUGAUAUCUUGUGCUUUAAUCCAAGGACCACAAUCACUUAUCGAUAAAGACAUAUAUGGCCAUCACGGCUGAGCGAGAUGCGGCCAUCCGGGAAAGGAACAUGGCACUGGAGGAGAGAAAGAGGGCCUUCUCUGAGAGAGACAUGGCAAUGCUUCAGCGGGAUGCAGCUAUUGCUGAACGUAAUUCUGCCAUACAAGAACGAGAUGAGGCCAUUGCUGCUCUGCAAAUAAGGGACUGCUCUGUAAAUAAUAUGCUUUCUGACUCCGCUGAGGAUGGGGUUGCAGAUGGAACCGAAGACAUGCAUUACCAGCAUAUGCAUCACGCUAUGGUUAAUGCUGCAUUUAGUCCUAGAGAUAUUCUAACUAGUGAGACCUUUAAUAGUACACAAGUUGCUUCUGAAACUGCGAAAGCCACGAAAGUGAGGCAGCCAAAGGAAGGUAAGAUGACAAAAUCAGUCAAGUCUCCAAGGUCGCCUAAAAGACGGGCUGAAGGCAUGAUUAAGCCACUAACUCCUGCUUCAUCAAAUGGUUGGAAUGCUGGCCAUGAUUUGAAACGCGAGGAAGAAUUAGAAGGGCAUCUUGGUACGUGGAAGGAUAAUAUAGGCUUGAAUCAAAUAAACUUUGACGAAACUUCCAUGCCAGUGCCAGUUUGCUCCUGCACUGGAACACCCCAGCCUUGUUAUAAGUGGGGGAAUGGUGGAUGGCAGUCGGCUUGCUGUACAACGACCAUGUCUGUGUAUCCGUUACCUCAGGUAUCUAAUAAGCGGUAUACCAGAGUCGGUGGCAGAAAGAUGAGUGGAAGUGCCUUCAAUAAAUUGCUAAAUCGACUUGUUGCCGAGGGUCAUGACCUGUACUCUGCUCCACUUGAUCUGAAGGACCAUUGGGCAAAGCAUGGCACGAAUCGGUAUAGCACCUUGAAGUGACUCCAGAAUGACCUGCUGUCAGUGUUGCACACAUGUUGGACGGUUUAUGUAUGGUGCAAUCUUAUACCGCCCAUUAGCGGAGAUAUUGGAGGGGCUCAACUCUGAAUUCUGCUGGUGCUCAUCAAAUCCCAGAUUAUAAACAAUGGAAAGGAAAAUAUACAGAGCUCAAAAUUUGUUUUCCAUGUUCUGUUGUAUUUUGUUUGGUGUUGCUAUGGAUUAGGACAAAAAUUUGUUGUUGGGCAUACAUGAUACGGGGAGAAAGAUUAUGUAUAUGAAAUCUGAAUACUCAAACAGCUAUAUACCAAUUGAACCUGAAGCUGCAAAAUCUUACCACCGGAGCGAAUGCUGUAAUUUGGCACCUUCAAUACCAGUUGUUUUUCUUUCUUUUCUUUUUUUUCAGUCCAAGACGUUUUAUUUUCACCUUCAAGUAAUUGGAAGCAGUUUCUUGAAAAAUUACGAAUUCAGUAAUUGUCCACGCUUGCACAAAACGCAUUCGCGUUCCAGCCGUAAGCCCCGACUCCAGAUUGGUUUUCUGAUUUGGCUAAUAGACGGGCAACUUUUCCUUUGCAUUUGACUUGAAUUGAUAUAAAUUUAUUCUUGUUUCAGAAAAUUGAAAAUCCGCGAAGGACUCUUCAACGCUAGGUGGCACAUUUUUUAGGGCAAAUUUUCGUGACCGUGGAUUUGAUCCUCAAGGCAAGAAGCCAUCAGCCAUUCAGACUCGGAAAAUGUUUCAAAGUCCCAAUUUUCCAUAUUCUCAUUUGGAUUGCCACGCUGUGGAGAAUAAUUAGCUUCAAUUUGUCCUUUUUUUUUUUUUUUGAAAAAUUUAAUUCCCUAGCAUCUUCAAAUUCUACACCUUCUGAGCCUGGGAAAAAAUGUUUGCACUCUCUUGAGAAAAGAGAGAAAUUGACUUAUUAAAUCUCAGCCACCAAAUUGAAUACUUAUAUUAGAUCCGAUAAAGUUAAACGUGCCGUGACGCGCAGUGAUCAAGCCAACGCUAGACUUGAUCACAGACUCGACAAUCCGGGAAAGCAAAUAAAUUCAGAUUCCACACUCAUGCGACUUAUUUAAACAUUAAAAAAAAAAAAAACCCAAGGUCUACUCCAUAACAGAGGCACUUCCAGGGUUUUAAAACCCUCCUCGCGAAGCUAAAAACAUUCAACCAACCAACCAACCUUUUAGAGACAGACUUGCAUAAUCAAUGCCUAAUAUUAUAAAAUCAAAUGCCAAUCUAUAUCAAGGUUGUUAAUUCACAUUAAUUACAAGGCCAGAAAAGGACAACUUCUAUGCUGUGAAUCCCAGACUGGACAACGAGUACACAACCAGAAUGGCUAGACAAUCAACAGUAAUUAAACCAAACAUGCCAGACCAGCCAAUGCAGACUAAUACAACUCCAAGCAAGCCUCUUGUGGUUCCAAUCCCUAUAUAUCAUUUACCAUGCAACCACAAUUCCUAUAUAUCAUUUACCAUGCAAAACUCAACAAUACUUCAUUUGGCCAAAUUUGUCCUCAGACACCAGCAGUACCACCUUCCUUCCUUCAGGAGUAUUUUGUAAAAAGAUAAAAUAAACUAGGAAAAUAAAAAUGAAAGAUGAAAUGAAUGUCUAAAAAACCACAAUGAAACAUCAAAAGGCCCAGAAAACUAGAAACAGGAUCUUUCUCCAGUUUUAAUCUUCGAUAAAAACUACGGUUCCUACAGGUAAUCCGUCUGGAUAACAAAUUUUUCUUCUUCAAAGUAGCUAUUAAUGUCGACUACAGGACAUUGUCGACUUAUGCAACAUCAAUCAAGUAUCUAUUUCCAACCACUCAUGUUUGUUUUGACAUUGAACUUCAUAAUUUAACAAUUACCACAAUCUGAUAAAAAAAUAAAAAAAAACCUAUGUUCGCAAGAUAACAAAGCAUUCCCUUCAGACAGCACCAAAUGCUCAUCCACGUAGAACAGGGAAAAAAAAGGAAAAAAAAAAAGAAAAGCAAAGAGCAUCCUCAAUCAUUUACAAUAUAACCAUUUAACCUCAAUAUGAGUUGCAUGUGAGACUACGCAUUUCAAUCUUCUAUAAAACUCUUGGAUGAUAGGUUUUUACAUCGAAGUAACUAUUUCUGUCUCUAUGAGACUUUGUGCAUUCAUGAAAGACUAAUCAUACAUCCAUCCAGUAUCUGACUCCUACAAUUCAUGUUUGUUUUGCUAUCAAACUUCAGAGUCUAAUAGUUUUCCCAAUCUCAUAUUAAACCCUACAUCAAAGCAUUCCCUUUGUACACUAACGGUAGCACCAAAUGCCCAUCCAUCAGGGGGAAACUUAAAAGCCAAAAAACCUCAAUCAUUUAUCAUAUGAUUACUUAACCUCAAAAUGAGUUGAAUGUGGGAUACUGGGCACUGAUACCUGCUAAACUUACUAGUUUACGUAAGCAUCAAAACUACUUAGUAGCAGGAAUUUGAUAUGAUAAUCACUAAUAAAGCUUUAGCUACAAAGAGGCAGUAACCGCAUCUUAAGUUUAGACCUUCAUGCCUUUUAACCAAGAAAAUGUAGUGCACUCAAGCCUAGCAAAAUUCUAUUACAUAUAUAACCAUAGCAUAUCGUAACCAGCAAAUCACAAAGUCCAACUCAUAUCCUUUUCAAAGCUACAGAAGAAACUGGAUCUGAUUAAAAGAAUACUGCAUGGUUAUUCAGAGUCAUAAAUCAUGCUCUUAUAAAUAGGCUUGACUUAUGUAAUCUUUUAACCUCUGAUACAAUUGGUAAGGUAAUAUAAAAUCAUCACAUAUCAUGUAUCUCCAAAGAGGUAGAAAACUCCACAAUGAUCGACUAAGAGAGUGUCAAUGCCUACAUAAUUGUUGCUUCAAUCCACUGACACUUUUAAGAACGUCUAUACAUGAUAAAUCCGUCAUUGCGGUAUAAGUUUUAUCACCAAUAGAAAACAACUCCUGUCAAAGGCAUAGUUUACCUGAAUAUAGACGUUCAUAAUCAAACUCAGCAGCACCUCACAUUUACCCAAAAAAACCACAAAAUGCCAGAGAAAAUAUAUUCCUUCUCCAUAAUAUAGUAAUAAAGUGUUUAAGCUCAAAUUACAGCUUAGAAAAGAUCUAUACUUGAGUUACAGAAACAUAAAAUCAAAACCUACAAGUUGAACUAAAAUAUGCCAUCAAGGUGAUCUCCACCAAGUUGUCAACUUAACAUCAUCAUUGCAGCAUUAUGCAACAACCAUAAAUAAAAUAACUUGAGCUGAAUCUUUAUCACCUCAAAGGACAAUAGCAUGCCCAACUUAUUCCCUUGAAACAGAAUCAAAACAUGUACUUUUUGUCCAUAAAAGGGUUAUUACUAACAAGGAAAGCAAGUGUCUUCCUCAUCUGGACUGCUAACUCCCCAAACUGCUUCCACCUAGAAAAAAAGGAGCUCAUACCUAUUUAAGUCUCCAACUUAGAAACUGAGUACCAGUAUCUACAAACGUCCAUCCAAGAGACAUGGCUGACAAUCUAAGACCAAAUAUUAUAUGACAACCAGGAUUGGUAAGAGGUAGAGAGACAAGAGACCAGAUGAUACAGCAAAAACGGGGAGGGAGAGAGAGAGAGAGAGGAAAAAGUAGAAAACAGAAUCACAUCCCAGCAGCAGCCGUACGAACUAGACCUGAAGAAAAAUGCAAAAACCAUAAAACUUAAGUGUGAACAACCCAACAAGAACACCUAUACGCAGUUGUGCAAGUGUAUUACCUAAAGUUCAUCAUGUCUAAUAGUAAUAUCCACGUCCAUAUGGACGAUCACCUCCAUAAAAUGAUGGAUAUGCUCCUGCACCAUGCUGCAAAAUAGCAAGAGAAGAGUCCAAAUCAUAAAGCUGUUAAGACGUAGAAUGCAUUGUGGAAGGAAUAUGACCAUCAUACGCACAUCAGAGCCAUAGUAAUCUUGUCGAUAAGGCCCACGAUCAGCUUCAAACCCACCUAACAUCAAAUAGGAAACAAGCAUAGUGUUAUGAGAAGUGAUUACAAAUCAAGAAGCAAAAUUUAAGAACAUAAUAGGAAUUUCUGAACCUCGGUAACGACUUCCAUGAAAAGAAGCUGAAGCGUCAGGAUACUCAAACCGAGGGCGACGAGUGCUUGGCUCCACAUAAUCUGGAUCCUGAUCCUAGGAACAAAAAGAAACAUUGUUAACUUGGAAAAAAAAAAUUGAAGAAUCUGAUUUCCUCACAUAUCUUAUCCCAAGGUUUCUGUUCUAGCUUACUGUCAUAAAAUACGGUCGUUUAAUUCCAUGGGCAGGGUCAUCAUAAUAAUAGGGGUCAUCAAAGUGUCUUCGAAAAUAUGGCUCAUUGAAUCCUUCCUCUGGAGGGAAAGGCUGCCUCCUCAGUGGAUCAUGAACACCAUGGCCACCAUGUCUACUUCUAUCCAUGUCAGGCCGACGUGGCAGCGGACCUCCACUAUAUCCUUGUUGAGGCCUGAAACCCCACCUUCCUCCUGUUUAUGCAACAGAGUCCAUCAUAAACUUGCUCCAGCAGGGAAAUAGGAAAAAAAUGGUUCUUGAUCUUGUAUAAAUAAGCUAACAACUAUCAUAAAAAUUCUCCUCCUCCAUGCAAAGGGUGUGAAAUUGUAUAUCUAACCAUGCGCAAAGCUUUGCCUUCCAUGCAAGGGAUAUUCAUUAUCAAGUUCACGAUCAUUUAGAGAACCAAUUCUACCACCACGUCCAGGUCCACGUGGAUAAAAACCCCUGCCAUGCUGGAAGCUUGGUCGAUCGAAGGCAUGACCACCUCGACCAAAACCCCUUCCUGAAAGCACAAGACCACGUCAUACUGCAAUUGAGUAUUUGAAUAUAAAAGAAGUCGACAAAAUUUCCAUACCAAAUCUGGGGAAAGUCCCGCCACUGCUUCGAGCUAUUCUAAAACCUCCAGACAUACUGCCUUUUACUGCCUGAGUUUUAGGCAACGGAUUUGAAAGUCUUGCUCUUACUUUUGCCUAAUUACAGAGAAGAAAAUGUCAAAAGCUGAAGAGGUUGCAUCUAGUAGAAAUUACGUAACAAACAGGACAAAAUUAUCAUGACUCAUCCUCUGGGUCAUGUCAAGAAAUGCGUGUCAAAGUUCUGAAAGCAUGAUAUUAACAUAGGUCACUGAAAUAGUUCUAAGAUGCGAUUUGGAUGGAUGGAGAUUAGAAAUGGACAUAUUUAUGGGGUUGUGCAGUACUAUGUUAAUAUAUGCUGGUAGAACUACUCACAUACAAUCAAACAAAACCAUCACUGUUAAUUGCAAGACUCACUAGCUGCAGAUGCCCUUUAAGAUCGCAAAAAAUUGAAGCAUACCUUUGAGUUUCCAUCACCCAGUUCCAUGUUGUUUACUUCCUCAGUGCAUGAAACAGCAGCUUCAUGUGUAGUGAAAUCAACAAACCCGAAAUCCUUCCUCUUGGCUGUAGACAUAUUACGAGCUAGCAUUACACGUGCAAUCUCCCCAAAACGUCUAAAUGUCUCUCUAACUCGAUCUUCAUCCCAAUAAGGAGGAAGCCCAUCAACAAAUACUGAUUUAACCUGGGCCAUCACUGCUGGGUCUGGCUCACGCAGAGGUUCAGCAAAAGCCACCUUAGCAGUUCUCUCAGCAUGGCCAAAAAUAGCAUCAGGCUUUUGAAGUCUCUUGUAUGCCAGCAUAGCUUCUGCAUGACAAGAAAACUCAAGAAAUGCAAAACCGCGACUCAGCCCUUCGUGUUUGGGAUCUGCCACAAGAGUGAUGCUUUCAACACUUUCUAUGCCAUACUCCUUCAGCUUGUCUUUUAUCUGCCAUCGGUUAUGAUAGAAUUAGAAAAAAAAAUUUCUAAAAGUGCACCAUCCAAAGAUAAAUAUUAAUCUUACAGCUUCUUUUGUCCAUGUAUUGCAAAUAUUGCCAACAAACAACGUAUCAUUGUCCUCACUUGGAGCAGUCCCACAUCGCUUCCCACGUAUCUGCAUUACAAACCAAUAAUUGAGUAUUUAUACAAUUUUCAGGUAUAUGAAAGUGCAUAAGUCUGCAACAGAGAAUGAAUUUUUCAGUGUGUGAGUCAAAGCACACCAUCUAAAGAUGCAUCUUACAACAGGGUUUUUCAUUUCCGACAAAGCCCUGUUUGCUUCUUCCUUAGUUGAAAACCUGACAAAUGCAUAACCCUUAUUCUUGUUGGUGGAGGGAUCCUUGUGUAGGCGGACAUCAACCACCUCUCCAGCAUAUUUAAACACCCUCUUAAGAUCUUCUUCGGUAACAUCACGAUCCAACCCACCAACAAAAAUCUCAAGCUCUUUCCUCAACUUACGCUCCUUUGCAGCAGCAUUUAGUUCCGCACGCUCCUCUUCCAAAGCUUCUUCACCUUGCCCUAUCCUGUCAUCUUCAGCAAACUCUUCUUGGCCAAGUUCAUCAUGAAUCUCUUGAUCAGCCUCUGAUCUGUCAUCAUCUGCUUCUGCUAAAAGACCAUCAAAGUCAGUCAUCUCUUCUUUGGGGUCUUCCUCCAUUUUAUCUUCCUCAGUCAUGUUCUCCACUUUAUCCUCAAUAAGUUUCUCCUGCUCCUCUUGUUGGUCUAUCAUAUUCUCUUUCUCAUUUGGUUUAGUAGGUACAUCGUCCUCAAAAUGUUCAGAAUCUACAGAAGUCGAUCCCUGUUCUUUCUGAUCAAAUGGUGCACUUUCCGUGACUGAUUCUUCUGCCUUGUUCUUCAAUGACUCUUCAACAUGCAAAAAAAUUUUCUCCUCAUCAACUCCCUCAACUUUGUCAACGUUUGGUCCUACGCUUAUUACUGGUCUGUCAAUAUUUCCAAGGCUAAUUCCAUCAUUUUUAGCAGUCUCAGCACCCUUUGCCACUGGUCCUCUAUUUGCAGCAUCUAAGACAUCAUUCUCCUUCUUGGAUUCAUCAGCUAUUGCAUUUUCAGCUUCCCCAGACCUUUUCUUCAGUCGAGAAGCUGGUCUAGCAACAGUUCUUCUUAUGAUCCUCUUUACAACUCUUUUAGUAGUUUUCGUCCCCGAAGCAGGUUUACUUUCCCCUGUCACCUGAACAGCACCAUCAUUCGUUGCUUUUGCUCCUUCAACUGCACAAGAAAUAAAUAAGUUAGAAACUCACACUUAAUUGCAGUGAAUGUGCAAACAAAUAUAUAUAUAUAUAUAUGUCCGAAUAUUAGAAGCUAAAAUGAAUUUACUGGCAACAAAAAGUCCCUAAUUCCCGAAAUUUGUAACUCAAAAUAAUCAGAGAAACAACUAGAUGUCAAGGAAAUCUUUAUGCGCAAUGCAAAAUUGCUUUUCUUGACAAUCACAAGAGCCUAUAUACCUACUUGAAGCAGACAACCUCAAAACUUACAAUUCAUCUAAGUAGAUAAACCUAAAUUUUAUUAAGAAAUAAGUUAAACUUAUUAUCAAUAUGGAUGAAACUGUAUCAGAAUCAGAAUAAUCCAAAUAUCACCUGCUGAUGCUGGUUCCUGCGUAGGCAGGGCGGUGGUUACGGGAGCGCUUAUGGUCUCGACGGGCUUAGUUUGCUGUCCUUUGAGGGCGGGGCUAGGUCUCGCUUCGGAGGACUUGGGUGGUAAGGUCGACGUCGCCGGAGCUUCAGCCAAUGCUGCGGACUCGGCGGAGCUGGGCGUGGAUUGUGAUUUUAAGGAUGUUUUCUUCGCCGGCGGCGUCUUCUUCGGUGUUGCGCCUGUAUUUCGAGUUCUCAUAAUUUGAUUGAAUUGUAACAGUUACAAUCGGUUUAUACCGGGGGAGGAUUGUCAAAAACCCUAUACAGUUAAGAGAGACUUGGAGAGCGGGGAAGGCAGCUUCGAUAAUCUAAUCGUAUCGCUUUGGUCAUUUAUACUGGUAACCGACAGAAGCUGAAGUCGGACACGAUACGACGUUGCUCUGUAUUCCAUAAACACCGUAAAGGUUUUCAUUUUUUUUAUUCCUUUUUUGGGAAAAUUUUCAGAAAGGAAAUGGUAAAGUGGUAACAACCGAAAUGCAUAAUUAAGGUGUAAUUUUUGAUAAAUCUGUGGAGGGGAUAUGGGUUAUUAUUCAUAAAUAAUAGUAAAAGUAUUCAUCUUGCAAAUAAAUUUAUGAAAUUAAAAAGUUCACAUUUUUAUUUAUUAAGAUGCACACUAUAAUUAACCGAAAUGCAUAUUAUUGCGAGGGUAGUUUUAUUCAUCCAACGAUAAAUUUAUUUUCUUUUUUGUAAUCCAUAAUAGUAACCCAUAUCCUAGUCACAAAUAUCCCAAAAUUACAUUAUGAAUUUCAAUUCUUCUUAUUUCCUUUUUCCAAAAUUUUUUUCCUAAAGAAGAUUGUAAAAACAAAAUAGGUUAAAAUAUUGAAUUGGCUUUCCAAAAUGAAGUUGCUUCACACACACACAUAUAUAUAUAUAUAUAUAUAUUUGGCAAAAACGAUAAUAGUAAAUAACUUUUUUUACGAGUGGGGUUGUGAACUCAAAACCUCUUAUUUAUAUUUUCUCUUGUUUUAUCAUCCAAUCCAAAUCUAUCUUCCAUUCAAAAUAAUUAGGGAUAAUUUACCUCCCUUGAUGAUAGACAAUAACUAUAAUAACCUUUAUAAUUUUUCAAAAGACAAGUCAUUGAUAAAAAAAGGAAAAAAUAACAGAAAAAUGGAAAACCAUUCUUCUUGACCAGGCCAUAUAUUGUGGCCAAACAAUUUCAGUUAUAAUCAUAAAAAUUGUAACAUUCUAUCACUUAAAUAUGCUAAUCAAGGUAGUUGUCUCCUUCCUUCUAUCACUCAAAUACGCUAUUGCUAUUGAUCAUGAUGGAAGCAAUCAUCACUGUCAACAACCCAAUUGUUCAUAUUAUUGAAUAUAAAAAAGUUAUUGGAUUACAGGAAAGUAUAAUUUGAUAGAUUGUACUAAAAUUAUUAUCCCAAACUUGCACUUUUGUUGAUGUUUUGCCUUUUAAAAUUUUUUUAUGAUUAUUCAUACUAAGGAACUUUAAAUGAGGGCAAUUUUGGGCAUUUAUAUACUUUUUUAAUUUUACAUCAUCAAGGUGAAACCCAAACCUAUGUUCUAGGGGAGGUAUGUGUAAUUUUCAAAAUGUGAGGAGAGUUGUCUAAAAUUACUAGAAACCCCAAGGGAGGUUUCUGAAAUUAUAAUAACCUUGAAACAGAAGUGAUUAUGAUAUGAUAUUGCACUAUAUUAUAUAAAUAGUAUAAAAUUUUUUCAUUUUUGUUGGGAAAAUUUAAGAAAGGAAAUUAUAAUAAUAAUUGAAAUCCAUAAUUAAGGGGUAGUUUUUGAGAUAUUUAUAGAGGGGAUAUGGGUUAUUAUUCAUAAAGAAUAAAAGAAUCCAUCAUGCAAAUAAAAUUUAUGAAAUUAUUGCUAAUCUAAAGUUCACAUUUUUAUUUAUGAUGUACACUACAAUUAAUUGAAAUACAGAUUGUUACAAGGGUAAUAGAUAUAUUUACUUUUUUUAAUUCAUAAAUAAUAAUUCACAUCUUUUGUUUAAGUGUAAGUGAUCUGGUUCAAAAUUAAAAUUUCUUAUGUAUAUUAUCUUCUUCAAAUCACCCACAACCUAUCCCUCCCCGAAGUGACAAGUAUCCCAAAAUUACACUACGAAUUUCAAUUCUUCUUAUUUCCCUUUUUUCCAAAUUUUUUUCCUAAAAAAGAAUGUGACAAGUAAAUAUGUUAAAAUAUUGAAUUUGGCUUCCAAAACGACGUCGUUUUCGAUAUCUGCAAAAAACCUUGUAGCAGGACCUUUCGAACCGAGAAACGAGGACCAUGAAGCAGAACAACAUACGAGCCCAGAAAAGGAAGUACUCCACAAUAAAGCACCUCCUCUCUGAAGAGUAAAUAGAGAUGGGCGCGUCAGAGUCAAGUCUCUCCAGCUCCCAAGUAAUCCCCUCAAAUUCAAUUAACCUGAAAUAAGCUCUACCUUUUCCGAUAGCAUUUUAUUAUUGCUAUUUUAUUUAUUUAAUUUGUAUAUUUUUCAUGGGUGAAGAGACCUGGAGAUGAGAUUACCACAGUAUCGGAGCGGUCAGAAAUUGUGGAUCCUGUCAUAGAGCAGCUCAAAUCCCUUAAAAUUGUGAGCUGCUACUCCAAUUUUUGAGCUUUUUUGCUUUAAUGGAUUAUCGAUUUUUGUCACCGUAUUACUUUAAUAUCACAUCAGUCGGUUUUAAUUACGUGUAAUUUGUAAAUGUUUGUGAAUAGGCAACUCCAAUAUUAACGUCAACGCCGGCAGAGACUAGCUUGACGGAUAUUCUAGUGAGGAAAGCUUCAUCUUCUUCAAAUUCAAGUAAUUAAGGGGAGCUUUCCUGUUUGGUUUGAGUUCUCAUUGUAUUGUAUCAUUUGGUCCCUAAGUUCUGAACUUGAAAAGCUUUACUCAUGUUACGUUGGAUUCUUGAAACUUGUAUAUGCUGGAACAAGCAACGACUUGGUAUUGAUUGGGUGCUUUUGCAUAAAACUGCUGUUGAUUUCAUGCCACAAAAUGAUAGUUGUAAUGAUCAAUUUUCCCAAAUGUUCUCCAUUUAGUAUUCUGAAGUCUGAAACGAGAAAAGCUUCUGCCAAUUUUGAAAAAAAAGGCUUUCUGACAUUCUGUGAUAAUGCUUAGCCUUGAGUAUUUUGAAAAUUUAUUACAAUACUCAAAGAGUGAUUGAUGUCCUAAUUUAUUAUUUUAACCAUAGAACUGCAUCAGAACUAAAUUUAGACUGGAUUUGGGGAAUAUAUAUAUAUAUAUAUAUAUAUAUAUAUAUAAUGUAAAAAUUGGACCAUCUGAUCCGAUGGAAGAACUGAUGCAGAGAACAAAUGAGCUAAAUCCACCUACUUAAAAUAUGUCUCAGAUAUUUUAUGCUGGAAGAUGCUUAAUGGAUGAAAAAUAAUAUUGCAGUGCCUGAAUGUGGUAUUUUAAGGAAUUAAGUCGAGAUAAUCCUGUAGAACAACUUCUAAAUAACAAAACCUUUGGAAGCAAAUCUUGUUCCCUUGUUGAAAAGGAGUCUCUGGAGAAAACCUGUUAUCCUUUGAUUGAAUUCUUUGGUUACCAAACAUAUAGUUUGCUGUCGAAGAGUAUGCACUCUAGCUAUGUAUUGGACUGCAAUUCAUUAUGGGAAUUCCUGUUAGUUGACAGCCUUCAUCAAUGUUGGCAUAUUGAAAGUCCUUGGAUGUGUGAUGGAACAAAAUUUUAAUUUCCUGAGUUUCUAAUUGUGCUUUUGGCUGCAGUUUAUGAUAGACACCCCUCCUAACAGCUAAAUGGUUAUUUUUAUGUUUUUUGCAUGAUUCUUCAAUUUCACUGCUUUAUUAUCCAUGUAUUGCCCCUGAAAGGUUGAAAACUGAAAUAGGUACGGUCAACCCAAAUGUGUUGCUUGAGCUCUUUUCCAUGUAUCGUGACUGGCAAGAGCGAAAAGCACAGACAAUUAGUAAAAGACAGGUAAAUGGGAUCACUCGUUUGUUCAUUUUUCUUUCUCCUUGUUGUUGGAUUUUGUUAUUUAAGAGGGUUGUUUUGGUUGAAGUAAUAAGAUUUCCUGUGACACCCCGACGGAGGUAAGAAGUUGAAGCGUACUACUUAUAGGAAACAAGUUCUCAAUUUCUCUUGAUUUUAAAUUUAAGAAUCCAAUGGCCCGAUUUAUGUAUUUUAAUGUCCGCUUAAGGUCCAAUUAAGAGUUUGAUGUACUAGGACUCUGAAGACUCUUGUAAUUUAUAUUAACAUGUUGAACCAGGUGUAGUUUGGUACUUGUUUGAUAUGUCAUUGGGUUCAAAUAGUUAGUAGCCACUAGGCAGAAAGGGAGGGGCAAAGACAUGCCGAUGGUAAUUGACAGAGACUGGAUAUACUUGAUUUCUGAGCUGCUUGCUUGGUAAUUCGUGCAGGAAGAGAUAGAAAAUAAAAUAGAAGUUGCUGAUGCAUUGGCAGUUAAGCUUCUUCAACGUUUCAAUUAUUCUGUCUCUGCGAUGAAGACAACUUCACACCAUCUCUCAGAAGGUAAUUAGAAUUUGAGUAAAACAAUGAAGGUGGUUACCAGAUUGGUGGUUGCAUAUUAGCGAGCUAGCGGAGUUAACUGAACAUGCAAGAAUUCUUACUUAAAAGCUUUAGCGCCUAUGUAAGUUAAAAGAGUCUAGUUGGGGUUGGCAGGAGCUCUAAAUGACCCUCCCCUUAUUCAGAUCUCGUGGGUUGUUGGAAAAUCUGGUAAUCUAUGAACUGCUAUGUGAGUUGCAUAUGGUUGGAAGUGCAUCUUCGGUUAGGCAUGUCCUCCGUCCGCAUAAGCACAGUGGAUCAGAAUAGACUUCAUUGUGUUAGCUUCACCUAAUUGACUUCUUGUUUGAAAAUCCAUGCAGUUCAUGCGUUACAGGUGGAACUCGGAGAAUUGAAGGGAAGAUUGACUGAGGUUAUCAGCAACUGUGAUGCAUUGUGUCAAAGAAUUACUACAGAGGGACCAGAAUCACUUCGAUCAUCUAUCAAGCCAUUUACAGCAUCGCCUAUGGACAUGGGUACUGCUGAUGUGCUGAAUUCUAAUAAUAACUGAUAUGGAUGAGCCACAAUUAUAGCAAGUAGAUGCUAGGCUAUUCUUCUGUUUUAUAUGGUACAUUAUCUUACCGGAAAAUAGAAAUUCACUCGCAUGCUGCAGUUUGGGCUUUCGUUGACACAAUUCUAACAAAGUUGGUUUAGGUUGUCUAGCUCGGCCAGGAAUUGAUUUUAAUGUGUAUGUCCUGCAGAUAGGACAUCAAGCGAGUCCCGUUACUUUUUAGGGUGUUUAUUCUGUAGAAACUUUUGCAAGACGCGUAAUUUUGUUUUUCCAGUGGCUACGCUAAUUUUAAGGCAUUCAUCUAAUGUCUGUAUGCAUGAAUUGUGAAAGAACUGGAUUAGAGGAUUCGUUUAACAGGAGUUGACAGGGACUAAAUUUUUUUUUUUCCUUUUAACUCUUAAAUCCAAGAGAGGACAAAUCGGAAAGAGCACAUCAGCUACUCGCUACUCGGUAUUGCAAACUUUCAAGUUGCCGAAGGUUCAAAUUCUCGAUUGAUGCAUAACUUGUUCGUUUGAAAUGUGAAGCUCAUCAACGGAAGGCCAAAUAAAUCAUCAUGAUUUUCAGCGGUAAUCCAAAUACACAAAUAAACGGUAAACUCCUCCAAAGAACAAAAUUAAAAAUCUAUAUGGAUUAGCUUCACUACACUCUAACCCAACAUCAGAAGUAACUGUACUGCAAUUGAAUCACAUUCUUUAAUGAUGGAUUGUAUAAAAUAAACAAAGCUGCAUUUCUGGUGAGGUGCACGUAAUCUGAAGCAGUCAAGGCUGUUGUUGAGCAUCCAUGUAACCCGCAUCAACGAGAACCUUCUCCCUCUUAGCCAACUCAAUAUCUUCAUCUACCAUCAUCUUCACCAGCUGCUCAAAUCCAACUUUUGGCUUCCAUCCCAGCACCUUUCUCGCCUUACUAGAAUCUCCCUUCAGAUUAUCCACUUCUGCAGGCCUAAAAUACCUCUUAUCAAUCACCACAUGAUCCCUCCAGUCCAACCCAACAUACCCAAAUGCCGCCCGCAAAAACUCCUCAACCGUGUGAGAUUCCUCCGUCGCCACCACAUAAUCGUCCGGUUUCUCCUCCUGCAGCAUCAUCCACAUUGCCUCCACGUAAUCCCCUGCGAAACCCCAAUCCCUUGAAGCCUGCAAAUUACCCAGAAACAGCUUGCUCUGCAGUCCAAUCUUGAUUCUCCCCACGGCCCGGGUAAUCUUCCUCGUCACGAAGUUCUCCCCACGGCGGGGAGAUUCGUGAUUGAAUAAAAUCCCAUUGCAGGCGAAAAUGCCGUAUGCCUCCCGGUAAUUGACCGUGUACCAAUGGGCGGCGCAUUUAGAGGCGGCGUAGGGGGACCUGGGGUGGAACGGGGACGUUUCAGAUUGGGGAGGAGGGGUAGAUCCGAACAUCUCCGAUGAUCCGGCUUGGUAGUACUUAAUGUGGGACCGGCCGGUAGCUGAGAUGUGGGAACGGACGGCUUCGAGGAGGCGGAGAGCUCCGGUGGCGACGACGUCAGCUGUAUAAUCAGGAAUCUCAAAGGAAACAGCGACGUGUGAUUGGGCGGCGAGGUUGUAAACCUCGUCGGGGUUGAUUGUAUCGAGCCAGCGGCGGAGAGAGGAGGCGUCAGUGAGGUCAGCGUAAUGGAGCUUCAUCUUGGCUUUUUGGGCAUUGUGGGGAUCGAUGUAAAUAUGGUUGAUGCGUUGGGUAUUGAAGUUAGAGGAUCGGCGGAUGAGGCCAUGGACUUCGUAGCCUUUGAUGAGGAGGAAUUCAGUUAAGUAGGAGCCGUCUUGACCAGUUAUGCCUGUGAUCAGGGCUACUUUCCGGCUCGUGGGAGGUUGAAGAGCUGGGGAAGGAGAAGCGGUUUCAUCGCCGUUGGCCGUGCUGGUAAAUCCGGAUCUGGAGGUGGUUUGGUUGUCGGUGGCCAUUUAUGGCAGACCAAUGACUGAAGUGUUUGGAGGGUUUGACGGAAAAUGGAGGGAGAUGGGGAGGUUUAGGUCGGGGAGAAAAGGAAGAUUUGUAGAGGGAGCAGAGCAGGAUGCCAGGAAUACUAAGGUGGUGUGACAGCUCGCGUUUGACAACUAGGACCAGGAGUUUCUGCGCUCUUAAGGCUAGUUUGGAGACUAGUUUGGAGAGUCGUUAGAGAAGAAGAUUAAUUACUUGCGGGACCAGAAGUAAUUGUCCUAAGGCCUAGUUUGGGAGUUUAGGUGAGGAAAUUCUAUAGUUAUGACUUAUAAGCCGUCUCAUUUGCGAGCUUGAAAAAUUGAUGCUUUUCCGUUUAAUGCAAUGGAUUUUAUUCUUUUAUUCUUUUUUUAUUUUGUGAAGUGAAUUGAUUAUUUUUUCGGGUAUAAAAAUUUUUGGAUAAAUUUGAUUCCAAUCACUAUUAUCACGAACCAUAGCAUACUCCUCGAAACCAUAAGUAAAGAAGCGGUUCGUCUUUACUAGACUCUUUUUUUUUUUUUUUAACAUCAUUCUUAUCAAAUGGAGCCAACUUCAAUUUUCAAUUUUAGAGAGAGUAUUGAUUUGCGAUGUCUUUUAAAAAUUUUAACUUUCAAACCAAUAAUAAAAACUAUACCUUUUCUGGUUCUCCUUUUUUCCGUUGAUCUCCUUAAAAACUAAUUUACAUGCAGAAGUAUUGUCAUUGUUAAAGAAUUAAAAAAAAAAGAAAUAUUCCAACUUACUCUUCUUUUUGUUUUUAAAACUAAAUACUUUAACUUGCUCUCUAGUGUCAUCGUAUCUCUUCUUGUCUCUUUAUUUAGUAAUCACAAUCAAGAGAAGGUUUUCAUUCAUACUUCGUUGCUUUUCUUUUUUGGCAUAUCUAAAUCUAUCCAUUCAAAUGAAAGUGUCAUUAUGAAAAGGUGGCAAUUGAUAUUCUUGUUACAGUUCAAAGAAUGAUAAACGAAAAAAGCAAUGUAAGUUGCAAAAAAAGAAUAAAAAGGAAAAUAGGACCAAAAGAUGAAAUAUCUUAAGGGAGAGAGUGUAAGCAAGAGGUCUCGGGUUCAAAUCCUCGUACUUACACUAAAAAAAAAAAAUCUUAAACAUAUGGAGAGGGAAGAGGAAUUUAUGACAUAGAACACCCUGCACCCUUUUUCUUAUCUUUAUUAAUUAGUCUGAUACACUGAGGAGAUUUAGGUAGGUGGAUAAAAGAUUUCUAAUCCAGCACAGGCAAGACCUUAAAAAAGGAGUAUACACUCUACGAUAUAAUUCACAUUCAGGUUGCCAAACAUAGGUUGAAUUUGGAGUUAGAUGUUACUACUUUGUUAAAAGAUUUAUGAUCUAGCCCAAGCAUAUACCUAGACAAUAAGAAUGGUUUGCAAUAUCAUUUACACGUACAUUGCCAGUUAUAGCUUGAAUUUAGAGUUAGAUGUUACUCUGUUAAAAGAUUUCUGAUCUAACCCAAGUACGAACCUAGACAAUGAGAAUAUUUUACGAUAUACUUCAUGCUUGCAUUGCCAACUUUAGUUUGAGUUUGGAGUUAAAGUGUCAUUUUAUUACCAGAUUUACAAGAUGUCUUAGGCUAUAAUUAGCCUUAGAUCUUAUGGUGCUACUUUGUUCCAGGGAUGGCAAUUGAGGGAGGGGAUGGAGUGGGAUGGGGGUUGUAGUGGGGCCCAUAUGCACGUUAGCUCGGGCAGAAAGAACUGACUGACCUGGCAAGGUAGCUCGAACAGUCAGGGGACAGUUCGUGCGGUGGCCGCCUCUCGAUUGGAUGGGCCUGAUGGGCCGCGACGCCCGAACUUGUCGGGGCUAACAAGCGGAGCCCUAGGAGGAGUUCCCCUCCGCUGAGGACUCAUUGUCCUAUAAGGAAACUAUCACCAAGGACUCUAUAAAUACAACGCAUUGGGAGGACACAAGGUACACCACUCAUAGUUCAUUAUACUGUCACUUCGACCUAACAUCUCUACUGACUUGACCGUCGGAAUUGCUCCGGGGAACUAGCCUCGCCGUUUGUCAAUUUGCAGGUCGGUUCGCCCACCUAGCCAGCUCGCUCCCUCUCAGCUCGCUCAACCCGUCACAGCUCAGCUCGGAUCUUGUUUUUGGCAGUCGUCUCAAUUGGCGCUGUCUGUGGGAAUCAAUUACUUUCUCUUGCGAAAACAUGUCAAGAACUAGAUCCCAGAGGAACGUGGACGGAUCUAAGGGGAACGAGCAGAGUGAUCCACAACACCCCCGUCAAGAUCCAAUCCUGGAGAACGAGAGGUUUGAGCUCUUGCGGAUCCUGCCAGAGCAGCUGGUGCAAUCGGUGGCAGUGAAUCUGCCUACCUUUGAAGCCGUUGUGAACUACCUGAAGGGACAAUUUGGAGAUCAUCCCGGCCAUGCGCACAAGGCACGGAAGACGAACGGAACUGGGCCAUCGAAAUCUAGAACAGGAAGCCCUAACCCUCGACCGAAGAGGGCACGGGAGGAGUUCAUGCGUGAACAGAUCGAGGUUCUAGAACCCUCCCACAAGAACUCCCGAACUGAUCACCCCGAGCCCAUCUCAGGGCUCCCGCGGAGGGAGUUCCCUCCCAGGAAAGAGGAAUACCAGAUGCAGGAUGAACUGGAUAUGUUGUUAGAUCCGGAGGUGGACAGGUGCACCGCCUCUCCCUUCGUACCUGACGUUGAAGAUUAUCCGCAGCCCGCAAAGUUCAAGAUACCCUCCAUGAAGUCCUAUGAUGCGACCACAGACCUAGAAGAUCACCUAUUUGCAUUCCAGAUGCAGAUGCGCCUGCAAACGGCUGCUGAUGCCGUUAGGUGUAAGACCUUUUCGAUGUUCCUGGAGGGAAAGACCCGUCAAUGGUUCCAGAGAUUGCCUCCCAGGUCAAUUUGGUCUUUCAGCCAGCUCGCACGGCUGUUCGCAGCUCAGUUCGUGUCCUCACGAGUCUUUUCCAAAAGCACGGCUCACUUGAUGACAGUUCACCAAGGGCCUGAGGAGUCGCUGCGCGAGUAUAUGGUGCGCUUCAACAACGAGUCCCUCCAGGUUCGGGAUCGGGAUGAUAAGGUGGUUAUGGCUGCCUUCGUCAAUAGAUUACGCAAGCAGAAGCUGUAUACAGAGUUCGUGGAGAGACCUCCCAAGUUCGUUCGGGAGAUGCUAGACCGAGAUCAUGAGAAGGCUAAUACCGAAGAGGCCAACCGCUUGAAAGGCGCACAGGAAAGGCUGAAGGACGACAGGCGCAGGAAAAGCGCCGAACUGGGGGGGCGCGACCUGAUCAGGGACGGAAGAACGCCUUCGACCGCCUGUCCCGAAGCCGACCAUUUGAGAAAGAAAAGGCAUGGACCUCGCUCACAGUGUCCAGGGCCCGGGUCCUCGUCGUGAUGGAGCAAGAAGGUCUCUCUCGGCCUCCCCGACCACUAGCCGGUGAUAAGAGCCAGCGUGAUCAGGGCUUGUAUUGCGCUUACCAUCGUGACGUAGGGCACGAUACCGAGGACUGCCGUCACCUCAAGAAAGACAUCGAAAAAUUGAUCAGAAGAGGACAUCUCGGGCAGUUCAUACGUGACGGACGGACCGACCAGAGACAAAGGGGUACAAACGGAACGUGCGAAUUGCUCACGUGACCGACCUCGGGGCCCCCAAGAUCGAACUUCCAAACAAGAGGUACAGAACCUAGCCUGGGUGAUCAAUACUAUUGCGGGAGGGCCUGUCGGGGGAGAUAGCCAUACGGCUCGACGGAACAACCGACCCCCUCCCAGUGGAGAGAGCUCGAACAAACGCUUGAAGAUGUAUGAGGAGAUAAUUUAUGGGCUUGAGGUUGCGGUACCCCUUGCCUCUAAUAAUCAUAAGGCCAUCGUGAUAGAGUCAUAACGUGCAAUUACAAAGUAAAAAAGGUGUACAUAGAUAAUGGGAGUGCCAUCGAUGUACUGUACUACAAGACCUUCAAAGAGCUGCAGCUGGAGGAUAAACAGCUCAUCCCAAUCCGCACUCCCCUGAUAGGUUUCGCAGGUCCGCCUGUAAGACCCGAGGGAAUGAUAACUCUCAUGGUCACGGUAAGAGAGUCCCCGAAAUGUCGAACUGUCCCGGUGAAUGAAUUUUGUAGUGGUGAACGAGCCAUCCUCAUUCAACAUGAUACUGGAACGACCGACCCUAAACGCACUACGAGCCGUCUGCUCGACUUUACACCUUAGCAUGAAAUUUUUCACACCUGCGAGGGUAGCUGAGGUGUUAGGGGAUCCAGAAGUAAUUAGAACUUGCUACAUUGCGACUCUCAAGGGUAAGGAGAAACUGGUAGCUCAAACAGCCUAUCUAGAGCCCUGGGAACCUACGGAGAAAGAGGAGAGGCUGGAGACAGAUCUGCCCGGAGCAACCCGAUCGCAUGGUCAGGACUGGCUCCUGCCUGUGCGAGCUAACGCGGAGGGCAUUAGAAUCACUCCUAGAGGAAUACGCAGAGAUUUUCGCGUGGAGUGUUGACGACAUGUCCGAAAUUUCGCCCGAACUAGCAGUUCAUAAGUUACAUGUAGACCCAAAUGUCCGACCGGUAAAACAAAAGAAAAGGAACUUCGCACCCGAACGAAAUGAGGUCGUCAAAAAAGAGGUAGACAAGCUAUUGGAGACCAAAAUCGUGAAAGAGAUCUACUACCCGACCUGGUUGGGCAACCCUGUACUGGUCAAAAAAGACGACAGGGCAUGCAGGAUGUGCGUGAAUUUCACCAACCUGAAUAAAGUUUGCCCGAAGGAUUGCUACCUGCUCCCACGAAUAGACCAGCUGGUGGACUCGACUACGGGGUGCGAGAUCUUUUGCUUUUUGGAUGCCUUCAAGGGGUACCAUCAGAUAGCCCUGGAUAAGGAGGACCAAGAGAAAACCUCAUUUAUCACCGAAUACGACACAUAUUGUUAUACCACCAGGCCGUUUGGACUGAAGAACGCUGGCGAGAUCUAUCAGAGGCUGGUCAACAAGCUGUUCAAGAACCAGAUCGGCCGCAACAUGGAUGUCUACGUGGAUGACAUGCUGGUGAAAAGUCGAACUCAGGAGCAGUUCAUCGACGAUCUCAGAGAGAUCUUCAGCGUCCUUCAGAGCUCACGGAUGCUGUUGAACCCCAAGAAGUGCACCUUCGGAGUUAGAUCGGGCAAGUUCCUUGGGUACAUGAUAUUCAAAUACGGAGUGAGAGUUAAUCCCGACAAAGUGAAGGUAUCAUGGAUAUGGCUCCCCCCGGAACAUAAAGGAGGUCCAGUGAUUAGCUGGCAGGAUGACAGCUCUGAACAGGUUCCUGUCGAAGUCCGUAGUUGCUCAAUUGCCCAUAUUACUCAGUUGCCAGCCUUAACCUCCCCCGCACAGGAAGAGACCCUAUUCAUAUACCUAGCGGUGGGAAAAGAGGUGAUCAGUGCAGUGCUGGUUCGGGAGAAGGACCGAGUCCAGAAACCCGUGUACUAUGUCAGCUGAGUUCUGCAAGGAGCAGUGUCAAGGUAUACUGCAGUUGAACGGUAUGUUCUAACGCUAGUUCACGCGACCCGAAAGUUCAGGUCAUACUUUCAAACUCACCCCAUAAUAGUGGUGACCGACCAACCCCUGAAACAAAUCCUCUCCAAACCCGACGUAUCGAGAAAGAUGGUGAAGUGGGCUGUGGAGCUAUCUGAAUAUGACCUCGGCUAUCAGCCCCGUACGGCUAUCAAGGCCCAAGCGUUGACGGAUUUUAUAGCAGAGGGCGUCUCUUUCGGACUGUAGGGAGCCGAGGCCGAGUUGACCAGAGACACAGCAGAGGCCGAACAGGCCGGAGAAACUGUCGAGCUCACACAGGCCACAAAAGCAGCCCAGGCCGAGCUGACCAGAGACACAAUUGAGUUCGAACAGGCCGGAGAAGCUGCCGAGGUCACACAGGCCAUAAGGGCAGCCGAAACCGAGCAGACCAGAAAAGCAGCCGAGGCCGAACAGGCCGGAGAAGCUGCUGAGGUCGGACAAGCCGGAGAGGCUGCAAGGCGGACCACUCCGACCUGGACAUUGUUUGUGGAUGGCGCAUCGAGUAAGGAAGAGUGCGGAGUUGGACUCCUCCUAACCAGUCCCACGGGGGAGGAACUGGCCUACGCCUUAAGAUUUGACUUCAAGGCCUCCAAUAACGAAUCUGAAUAUGAAACUCUGAUCGCGGGGAUGGUGAUGGCUCAGAAAUUGGGGGCUGAAUCGAUUAGGAUCUACAGCGACUCGCAGUUGAUAGUGAACCAAGUGUUGGGAAACUACGAAAUCAAAAAAGAACCACUGAAAAAGUACGUCGCCAAAGUGCAUGAACUGAGAAUUCAGUUCAAACUGUUCGUAGUCGAACAGGUCCCGCGAAGCCGAAAUAAGAGAGCUGAUGCUCUGUCCAAGCUGGCCUCCACCUCGUUGGGCAUGCUAAACAAGGAAGUGCUAGUUGUGAUCUUCAGAGGUCGGGCAUAUGAUCAGUUGGACGCGGCAGUUAUUUAAGUGAUGGGCUCAUGGAUGGAUCCCAUUGUGCGGUAUCUAGCCAAUGGGGAACUCCCCUCAAGUAAGAUAGAAGCUCGCAAGAUUCUCCUCAAGUUGCGGGGAUAUGUGCUCACGAAUGGAGUGCUCUACAGGAAAUCCUACCUACGUCCAUGGCUGAGGUGUGUGACGCCGGAGGAAGGGGACUACAUCCUGCGUGAGCUGCAUGAGGGUCUCUGCGGAAACCACGUCGGCCCAAGGGUUUUGGCCAAAAAGGGAAUGCUGUCUGGGUAUUACUGGCCUAUCAUAUUCCUGGACUCGGCCGGACUGGUAGCACGGUGCAGAUUGUGCCAACUGCACGCACCAGUUCGUCACGUCCCAACUCAGGAGAUGGACCCGCUUCAGAGCUCUUGGCCGUUUUUUCAAUGGGGAGUCGACCUGUUUGGCCCGUUCCCCCUAGAUCCAGGAGGUUAUGAGCACUUGGUGGUGGCCGUUGACUACUUUACUAAAUGGGUAGAGGCCGAACCACUUAACAUCAUCAGUAGCAGGUCGGUCCAGAAGUUCCUCUGGAGGAACAUUGUUUGUCUGUUUGGCAUACCCCGAGUCUUGGUCUCGGACAACGGUCAAUAGUUCACCGACAGUUCUCUCCAAGGUUGGUGUUCAGAGCUCGGAAUCAGACAGCACUUCACUUCGGUAGGCCACUCCAAGCCAAUGGUGAAGUAGAAAAUGUCAAUAGAACUAUCCUGUACGGCUUGAAAACUCGGAUAGAGUCCGCUCGGACUAGGUGGAUUGACGAACUGCCUACCAUACUAUGGGCUUACCGAACUAUUCCUCGAACUGCCACCCAGGAGACUCCAUUUGCCCUAACCUACGGGACAGAUGCCGUGAUUUCCGCGAAGAUUGGUGUUCCCUCGGGCAGGGUACAGAACUUCAUAGCCCAGGACAACGAGGACGAACUACGGCUCAACUUGGAUCUGCUCGAACAAAGGAGAGAAGAAGCGGUUAUACGUAUGGCUAAGUAUAAGGGACAGGUCGCGCGACACUACAAUGCUAGGGUGAGACGCCUCUCCUUUAAAUCGGGGGACCUUGUCUUGCGAAAGAAUACCGUAAGUCGGAUCCGGGGUACAGGCAAAUUGGAUCCAAACUGGGAGGGCCCUUAUGUGGUGAAGGAGGCAGACCGAGCUGGAUACUGCAAGUUAGCACAUCUUAGCGGAGAAGAAGUCCCAUGUACUUGGCAUAAUUCCAACUUGAGGAUCUUUCAUUAGAGCUCAGCUCAUGCAUGGCCUGUGCUCCGACAGGAUGGAGGCCAGCUCAUGCACGUCAGAUCGUUCGUAUAACUAGAUUUUUAUUAAUGCCAAUGUAUUCGAUUAAGGUUGAAUUAUCUCGCAUAGGUUAAAAGCCAGCUCGUGCUUAUCGAGAUCAAUACCAGUUCGCGCAAGUGUAUUUUGAUGUUAUGACAAGAAAGUUAUGAAUGAAAAAUAAGGCUAAGUGUCAAGCAAAAGAAAGGCUUCAUUCCAUAGAAAAGAAAUGUACAAGGGAGAGUAGAACUCAUACAAAAAAUGAACUGGGACUAGACAGUUCGGGUCUCUAUCCUAGAAUCCUACUCUAGUUCUCACCCUCCUCCUCUUCCUGUUCGGACUCAGGAGUGGUCAUUGGCGGCAAAGGAUCAGCAACCAGAUCUGUCAACUUCCGCCCGCGUGAGUAGCCCUCCACCAGGCGAUCGACCUGCUCCACAGUGCUGGGGUUGUAGUUCGGGAAUUUCUCCAGGUCAAAUCCCAGCAGACCCAGCUCUUGCACUUCCUUCAGCGCCUGGGUGUAUCCAUGUUAUAGCACUGGGGUGUUCAGGAUGGCCAGGUCACCCCUGAAGUCAUCCAACCUCAAGAAUGCCCGAACACCCUCUUGGCGUCCUUCAGUCCUGGCCGCUGUCGUCUGAGCUGCCAGCUCGACGCCUCUUUGCUGCUCCUCCUUCAGCUGGGAGGUCAGUUCAGCAUUCUUCUUCAGCUCCAGCUCGAAGUUCGAGUGGACCUGCGCGAGUUGCCUUUUCAGGCCCUCGGCCUCCGAUGUGGCAGCUUCGUACUGGCUUAACAGCUUUUCAUUAGCUGCUCUCAUCUCGCUCUUUAGCGAGAGCACGUUCAUCUGGUAAAUCGAUUUUGGAGGACAGGUCAGUCUUAAGAAAAGACAAUUUUUACCAACAAGGGCGAGCAGGGUGUGAGGAGAAGACCGACCUGAGCUGCUCCCGUGUAAUAGUAGUCGAGGAGGUCGGAAGGAUUCAUGGUUUUGACCAGGUUAUAGUCCCGCGGAAGGAUGGCCCCAUGCAUGAGCUUCCGAGAUACCUCCGGGAACUGAGCUCGAUCGUUAAUAGACAGCUUCCAUUGGGGGCAGAAGUAUCUGGGGUCGAAGAACGAGGUGCUUUGGUGCUGCCACAGGCCAGGAGGAGCCUCAGCUCGGGCCUGCUCCUUGGCGGUGUUGACACCAUAGUGCCCGGUUUGAACAGGGUCAAGCAUCGACCCCUCUUCCCGACCACGGAACGAGGUCGUCUCCACCCUGGCUCUCUUGGCAGUGAUUUUCUUCUUCUUUUUCUUCCUUGUCUCAGCUGCUUGGGAGGACUGAACAGGGAUUGGUUGAACAGGCGGGGUAGGUGCCGAGUUGGCUGGGAUAGUCGAGGGAGCUUAAGUUGGGGUGUUCGAACUGCCUGUGCCCCCAAGAGUCAGGAGCUGCGAAAACCUCUUCACUGCAUAAAAACGAAGUUCAAGCAAUUAGUAACCACACGAGCUAAAAACUCAGCCCCAACAAACAAAAGACAAGGACAAGAAGAUUACAGGUGGCCAGCUCAUCCGGAGAGAGAGCUGUACUUUCUGGGGACGGAUCCGAGGAGUUAGUUCGGAUCAGGCCAGCCGCCCAGAGUUGGGCAUUGCUGAAAUCCUUCACAUUCAGCCUCAUGUCCGAGCUGAGUAAAUGAUUGAGCUCGAACACUGGGAGCGGGGAAGGAAUGGGAUCAGAAACUUGAGUCUCCGCUCUCCAAGUCAGGGGAGGAAGACCCAAGUUUUUCACAUAGAAGAAAUGGGGCUUCCAGUUCUUGAUAGAGAAGGGCGCGCCCGCGAACAGCUCACAGGUGGGGGUUUUCGCUCCGCUCCUACGAGCAAAGUAGAACCACCAGGGCACUUUGCCGCUGAUCUUCAUUUGGAAGAUAGCCCGGAACAAAUCAAGUGAAAAGGGGAUUUCGAGCACGCGACAGAGAAUGAAAAAACCUAUAAUGGAGCGAACAGCAUUUGGGAUGAGCUGGGUUAUGCAGAUGCCCCAGAAAGUGAGGAUCUCAAAAAGAAAAUUGGGGAUAGGGAGGCGAAGGCCAGCUAUCAGCUGGUCCCUGUAGAUUGCCACGAACCCGGGAGGAGGUUGUCUAGCAACUUCCCCAGGCCGGGCGGCCCUGGGUUCGAACUGGGCAGGGAUUUCAUACUUCUCUGUCAGUUCGUCGACAUCUUUUUGCUCCAGGGCAGGGGGAAUAGUAUCGACCUCGCCGAAGUCGCCGCUAAAUCCCCCCGAGGUCCCACUACUGCUUGGUCUGGAGCUGCUUGUGCAGCAGCUCUGACAGGAGGCUUGAUGGGUUGUUCGGACCAAUUCAUUGUUCUAGCAGGAGACAGAACGGGGGAGGGUACAAACUUUGACCCAGACGAACUAGAAGAAGAAGGGGAACUAGAAGAGGUAGAAGAACUGAUAUCUACAAGUAUGGGACGAGCUAUCCUACGCCUAAGGGCUGAACUGGUAACGUCAGAGCGUUCAGAGGAAGAAGAAGACAUAAAAAGGGAAAGGAAACUUACUGGUGAAAGGAGGAGGUCGGAUGAAAGACUGAUCUAAAGGAUGCGCGAACUGACCCUGUGUGAGAACCCAAAAAAAAAAACAAUCAAUCACACUUUCUCAGUAUUAUUUUAUUUCUUUGCCUACAUUUUAUACUUUCCUUGGACAUAUUAAAAUUUCUAUACAUUUUUACAAGCAAGUACAGUUUUAAAUUCAUUUUUCUAGUAUGAUUUAGUGUACGUUAAAUUUGGAAUGCAUUGUCGAUGUGGGACCCGCUAGUGCGAUAAAUGUGGUGAUUAAGAGUGAGUUUUGGAUUGUUAUUUCGUUUGAUCUUGUGGUUUUAUUUCAGAUUUGAUUGAGGUUUGACUGAGUUCCGACGAGAGUUAGGCAGGCGGUCCGCCGAACCCUUUGGUUCGCCUUAGGGUGAGGUGGGGCUGUCACACCCUGGGCUCUUAAAGUAAGACAAGCGGGCGGACUCUCGAAAGGAGGAAAGAAAAAUGAAGGAGCGAACUGAUGAAGCGAAAGAAGGGGAGUGAAAGUGACGCCUGGAGGGCUUAUUUAUAGGCAACCAUCAGGGCGGGAAAACGAAGGGGCGCGCAUUUAUUUUCGAAUUUAUGUUGGGAACCGUCAUUAUGAGGCGAGGUGACAGUUGAGGUGACGGAUAUGUGAACCGACGCGACGGUUACUCGAGCGAAUGCCAGACGAGGGGGCCCCACGCCGAACUGACAUAACGCCUCGAAAUUCGGUCCAGAUUCACGCGACUACUCGAUGACUCUAGACUAAAAGGGGGGCUAGUGUAGUGGGGCCCAUAUGCACGUCAGCUCGGGCAGGAAGAACUGGCUGACCUGGCAAGGCAGCUCGGACAGUCAGGGGACAGUUCGUGCGGUGGUCGCCUCUCGAUUGGAUGGGCCUGAUGGGCCGCGGCGCCCAAACUUGUCGGGGCUAACAAGCGGAGCUCUAGGAGGAGUUCUCCUCCGCUGAGGACUCAUUGUCCUAUAAGGAAACUAUCACCAAGGACUCUAUAAAUACAACGCAUUGGGAGGACACAAGGUACACCACUCAUAGUUCAUUAUACUGUCACUUCGACCUAAAAUCUCUACUGACUUGACCGUCGGAGUUGCUCCGGGGAACUAGUCCCGCCGUUUGUCCAUUUACAGGUCGGUUCGCUCAGCUCGCCAGCUCGCUCCCUCUCAGCUCGCUCAGCCCGUCACAGCUCAGCUCGGAUCUUGUUUUUGGCAGUCGCAUUAGGGGUCAUUUUCUUUCCCAUUAAAAAAGGGAUAGGGGCGGAGGUAUACCUAAAAAAAUAUAUAUAUAUAUUAUAAUUAUAUAUAACAUAUUUAAUAUUAUUAGUUAUAAUAAUUAUAUUUAUUGAAGCCUACAUUAUUUAUUGAAAAAAUCAUUUAAAACGUUCCUCAUAUUUUUUUAAAUGAGAUUUUAUAUCAUUCAUUAUUAUAAUGGUAAUUUUAUGUCUCUUGCAAAAUUAAAUCGAUAAAAUUUAAUUUUAAAAAAUCGGUAAAAUUUGAUCCCAACUUAAGUUUUCGAUCUUUUUUUACCCUGACUCCAUUAUACAGUCCACACAUAAUUAUUAUUUUAGGACUAAAAGGUUAGAUCCUAUUUAUAGUUUAACCUGAUCCAUAUUUAUUUUUAUUCCUAAAAAAGUAGGAUCAAAUUCAAGCCAUAAUCAAUUUUCUCAAUAAAAAGGGAUCUCAUCUAAUUAUAUUCAUUUUUGUCACUAAAAAAUGGGAUUUAAUCUUUUUAUACAUAAAAAAUGACUGUAUAUGAAUCAUGUUAGUGAUUUCAAGUUAAAACAUGGUAAAAAACUUAGGUUUCGACUAAAUUUUGUUAACUUGAUUUUAUAAAGGGAGUAAAAUUACUAUUUUAAAAGGGAAGGAAAAAAAAUCAUUUGGUAAGAUGUGAGAGAUAUUUUGAACGAUUUUUUAUUAUUUAAACGGGAGAUCUUGAACUCUGUAUCUCUAAUUUAUACUCUCCUUCCCUAUAUCACCCAAUCCAUCGUUUCCUCUUCCCUGACCCACAUGAUGCUUGAUUUUGAAAAUCAUCCCAUUGUGUUGAUCUCUCAAAUGAAGCGACAUAAAAUCAUGAAGUUUUAUCUUCAUAAUUAUCAUUUAAUGUAAACAUUGUCUCGCUUACAAUAUGUUCUCUAAAUGAUUAGCUCUACAUAAUAGUCAUUCAAUCCAACGUUGUAUGAUUUCAAGAUUUCAACAACUUUCAUAAACUUUUUUCGUCAAUGAUAUCUAUGUUUAGCACUAAACAAUGUGCUAUAUAUAGCUAAUUGUCAAUGAGAUAUUUAUGCACGUACGGAAGUUAACACAUAUAAAUCACACUAAAUUUAUUAUGUAAAUACAUAUACUAACAAUUAUUAUCUUUCAUUGCAUUUAUACACUUUACGUAAUUAUUUUUAUGUUUUAAAAAAAAUUAACAUCUCAACUAUUUCUUCUUCUCGAGUAGUGCGUGCAGUAGACACUCAUUAAAUAUUUCCAAUAUGAUCACAUAUUAUGUUACAUGUAUAAGAACCUACUUAAGUAAAAAAAUCUCUAUUGUUUAUUAAAAUUAAUCCUCAAUAAUUAUGCUACCCCAAAAAAUGUUGCUAGUUCCUAAUUUGAAGUCACUAAUAUUUCAUUCGGUGGAUAGACAAAUAAUCUCGUCAUAUAUCUUGCCUUCCAUCCAAACAUCUCCACAAUAAAUUUGCAACCAAAUCACGGAUUACAUAAGAUUAACUUACCUUAUGAGAUUAGUGACAAAAGGAAAAAAGUGAUUGGAAUUAAGAAUAGACAGCGGGAAAGUGAGUCGGACUCAAAUAAGUGCCCCCGAAGCUGAUGGCUCAAAAAAAGAAAAGAAGCCCAUGUCAGUAGCGGUGGCAGAAGCAGAUGCAGAUGAAUAUCCCCGCACUUUUUCGGGUAAAAGUACACUAAUCAUUUACUCUCCAAAUCGGACGACGCGGAUCAAUGCGUAUGCAGCAACCCUGGUCUCGUCAGCGCCUCUUCAACCCAAGAGACGCGUCUGUUAAAACGCUUGAGCUCGAGCAAAAUGGCCGAAACUCAAACAAGACGAAGCAGAAAAUAAUCGCUUGUUAUAACCUCAAAAUUUUCCUCUAGGGCUUUUGCAUUCUAAUAUCUAGAACAUUCCUAGUCUUGGAACACUGCCCAAAAAAAAAGUUUUCUCUUCUGCUGCUGCUUAACGAACUUGAACUUGAUUCAACCAUUACUACAUUAAUUAGUGGUUCCGGUUCCUAAAUGCGGAGUAAAUCGUGUUGAUUUUCUUUAUUUAAAACAAGAUAAAAAAAUGAAGCGAGUGAAGAAAUCCAGCAGAGUUUGUUGGGCAACUGAAGCUAAUCUUUGUCAGGUAUACUCACACUAAUGCUGUUGAUGACCAUCAUUGUAUCCGUACUAAAUUCGUGUAUUGAAUCAGCUUUUCAGUGUUUUUUUUUUUGAAAACUUUUCAUGUGUUAAUUUUUUUUUUGGAAAAAAUUACUUGGCUUUUUAAGACUUCAAAAAAUGAGAUUUCCUGCUAAUUUGUGAGUGCACAUUAGUUUACAAAUUUGCAAACAAAUAAUUUGCGUGCAUUCAUUUAUCUAUUGUAUUUGGGAACAGUACUUUAUUGAUUUUUGUUGGUAACCUAAUUGAUCCCGUCGAUUGUAGUAGGAUUUGCUUUAAGAAGCCACAACUAUAUUGUUUUUGGAGAGACCAGGUAUUAAAAACUCUGUUGUUUUCUAAAAUGCAGUUCUUAAAAAUACAAACAAAAUUGAAAUUUUUUAAAAAGAGCAUCAUGGACAUAAUUUAGAUAUACAGUCAGUAAAUUUUUAGACAUAUGGAAGUACACAUUAUAAGAGAUAAAACGAGAUAAAAAGGUCAAUAAUCAUUCAAUUUAAGUUUAAACUUUAAAGGAAGCUUUGAACUAUUUGAGGUGUUAAUCUGUUACAUGGGGAAAUCAAAUUCUGUUCUACAUUAAUGAACGCAACUCAUACUUUAGGGAAGCAAAUUUCUCCUUCCUGGAUGCAUGGAUGCAUCUAGUUCGGUGGAGAGAAAGAACUCAACCCAAUAAACAAGCUUCUGAGAAUCCUUCAUUCUCAUUUCACGGAAGAAGUACUCAUUGAGCUCCAAUACGUUGCUAAUACACUGAUAAGCUGGAUGUGUUUUGUGUUUACAAGGAUUCUGGGUGCAUAGCUUUUAAGUUAUAUCUUACUAAAAGAAAUGCAAACUAAGAUGCUUUCGACCAAGCAGGUGCAUGCAGUCAAAAGAAGUAAAAGGAGAGUAGAAAAAGAAGUUCAGGUAAAUGAAGCCUUGAAUAAUAAAUUUGUUCUUUGUAGGCAUGAACAGUUUGCUUCAUUUUUGAGGCAAAGAGAAUGUCUAAAACAUAAGGGAUUCUGAGAGUUCUCCAAGCAGGAAGGAGAUGAAGUUCCGCUUAUACUUUGUAUCAGCUGUUCUGAUUAAGCACGUGAUCUGAACAUAAGCUAUUGAAGAUCAUUUUAAUUUUAACUAAAUGAUCUACAGAUUUCAAGCUUUCGAAACUUGACUAACAGAAUUAUUAUCUGUCACUUAGAUGUAUUCUUUUGAUAUGAUCUUGGUGAUGUUUUGCUUUUCAGAAGUCAUUGAUAAGACAACACAUUUUGGAAGAUGUGAAGAAUGGUAUCAAGAAACUGUCUGGAAAAUACUUUAAUUUCAAAAGUUUUCAAGGUGGAUAAAAUGUCCUGUUUAAGUCUUUUGACUUAAAGGUUCCCAACAUCGAAUGAGCUACUCUUAAGACACUUCUUAGAUUCCAUUGAAUUGACGAUAAUCCUGAUGCUAAAUGAUAUGCUAACAUGUGCACUUAUCAAGCUGGCAUUCAAUGAGUGUGCCAAUGCUUAGUUAGAGCAUGUUAGUCAUUAUGGGCACCAUUUAUGGGAAUAACCGUGCUAUAAUAUCAGACCUAUUGUUCACUGUAUGUGAAACUAUUAUCAGCUAAUGUUGUCGAAAAAUGGUAAACAACUCCAAAAGAUAACUUGAACAUGUUGGGAGUCAAAAGAAACAUAAUCAUCUAAACUUUAAAUUACGCUUUGCAUUUUUAGGUCUACUUAGAGCAUUAACUUUAGGGUAAGCAUAUUGUGAUUGGCUUGCAAUGGGUCGCGUGGGAGCUGUUACACAAUCUGAAGCAGCCAUGAUGUCUAUCGAAGUACAGAAAGAGCUGUUACAAUAUAUAUACAUCAGUCAUGUUAUGAGUUCAAGGAAAGGACAGAGUCAGCUGAUAGAUCAAUGGAAUAUAUACUUUGUAAGGAAAGGAAAAGCUGCUCUCCUUUGCCAAUGUUAAGUCUGAUUUGUUAGAAUUUGUCCACUGGAAUAGCUUAGGAAACACGGUUAUUGUAAAGUGCGAAAUAAUGAGUUCAAGUGGAUGAAAAAUAACCGACAAGGAUAGCCUCUACCUAUUAGGUUGUAGUUGCAAUUAUGUUAGUAAAUCAUCUUGAGCAUAAUUCUCAGCUUCUGAGCAACACAAACCUAGAGUCUAGCAGGGUAUUCAAAGUCCCUAGAGCAGUCCGCAGUUUCUGCCUUUUGCUUAGAUAAAGGGGUAGAAGUAAUGGCACGUUGGAAGUUCUUGUAUGCGCACGCAAUGAACGGUCUUUGGGGAGAUUGUUGAUUCUUGUCUUUAAAUGAAACAUGUACCAUGCAGUGUGAUGUGUUCCCAAGAGGGCAUCAUCACUUGCAUGCGUGAUGCAACAGUAGAAGAAUGCUCCAAUAUAAACGAGAUCGCCUGCUUUAGUUGUGAACGACCAAUAGGUACGUGGUUCUUCUUCUUAUCCUCAGGCUUUUAAUAUGGUAAACUACAAAUUUGUGUUAAUGCGGUUUACUCUGAAGAUGAGGUGACUUGCCAUGCUUCUCCUAUGUGCUUGUUGCAGAAACAUUGAAGUUAUCAUAGGGUUUUCAUAUAGGAUUUCAUAAUCAUAGGUAGUUCUAUACUUUUAUUUAUUAAGGAAAAUUGAUUCUCAAGAUAGUGGAUGCUUGGUUAAAUGUGUAGAACUUUUGCUGCUUUCACUGAUAAACAUAAAGUUGGUACAUUUUGGUUUUUGAAAUAUGGUCGUGCAAGAAAUCAACUAAUUUCAUCAUGUUUUACCAUCUUGAAAUGUAUGCCUUGUCUAUGUGAAGUAUACAUUGCAUUUGGUUGGGAUGAGAAGGCAGGUUCUUGAAUGUGAAGGCAAUGAAACUUCUGCAGCGGAGUUACUGCUGCCUCCUCUAUGCUGUUCCUUUCACUUCCAAUUCGGGCUUCUGGGCUUGUUUUGGGAUUGGGGUGGUGGGGAGGAAUGGGGAAUUGAUUGAAUAGGCUGCCAUGUGGUGCGUCAAACAAUGUAGCCCUGCUGGUUCUUUCUCAGCCUUGUCAUCUCUCUACAUGCAUUAUGUAUAUUACCGUGUUAUUUACAUAUUUAUCCGAUUCAAUACAUUCAAGUCCUCGUUUGUUAUUAGUGCAGGCAAAAUUUGUCCAAUCAGAAGAUUGCCUAUCUGAAGUAGGUAGGGAACCUCCUGGCAAUCCUCACGAAAAGGUAUCAAACGAAAAUAUUGCGAUUGCUGAUGGUUUUCCUGGUUCGUCAGUCGGAAGCUAUCCCAACCAACUGAGCCAUAAAGGUGUCUCACACAUUCCUCAGAUUCCCUGGAGAACUCCUCCUCGAGUAAGCUUAUUAGAAGUGAUAAGACUGCAUAAUUUUCACAUUUUGCUUCUCAAUUUGGGGUAACCUAUUAUGUAUUUAUCAAGCAGUUUGAUUUGAAGUUUGAAUGUCACGUGGCUGCUGGGGAAGAAAGUGAAGAGGUAGAGGUUCAAAAGCACAGGGAAAUGAGAGUGCAUGAGGCAGUUUAUCCUCACUUUUCUGCAGUUCCUCACUGGUAAAGUAAACUCUUUUAGUUUAAUUCAAUUAAUUGCUUUCUUCUCUUGACCACAUCAUUGGCAUUUUCCAAAUAGCCCCUCGAUCUCAUCGGAUAUGGAAGCCGAACAUUUUGAUGAUUGGCAUACUCCGGUUAUUCCUGUCACCGCAAUUGAAGAAGCAGCAGAAACGGACUGCCUCGCCAAGCCAGAACCCGCAAAAUUACCCCAAAGCCCAUCAACUUCUGAAAUUUUUAACAUCCCUCAGAGCAAGUCUCUUCUUUCUCGAGACCUAUCUAAAGGUAAAAAAUCUGAUCAUGCACCACUGCAAGAUGUAGAUGGCCCAAUGGUUGCAGCAGCAGCUGCCACAACUGCAAUCAUGAAAAGUAAAGAGCCUCAAAGUUUAAUAGAUCCAGAGUUGUUGAUAAAGCUUCUUAGCAACCCAGAAUUGGUACAGAAGCUGAUUGAUGAACGCAGACUAGCUUCAGAUACUACAACUGGAACAUCUGGAUCAAAGAUGGUUGAGUCUUCAGUUCACCGUCCCAGCGCUAAAGGCAGCUUUCUGUUUGAGGAAUCUACCAUCGAAAGCUACAAACCUGACAAUCCCAGAACAGAGUUCAUCCACCGGCCAUCAAAAGUGAAAUGCUCGCCAGCUGCCCCAAGUAGAAUUAGGGCUCAGUUGGUCAGUACUGAAACUGGACCAACAUUUGCAUGGGAUGAAGUAGAACAGUUACUUCAUUUUCAGAGCUCAACUAUUGUUUCAUUGGUCCAAAAGUCCACUACCGAAAAUACGCAUCCAGGCAAUGCAGGAAUUGAGGCUCUACUAAGGCCAGGGAAUCAACCAUUAGCUGUUAAGGCAGAAACUGGAACAGGUCUUGGGCCAAAGCAAGUGACCACAUCAAUUUCAUUACUGAGCUCAAAGUCUGAUUUGCCAAGUCAGAACUCCAAUUAUGAAGUCUUUCAAAGAGCUGAUGUUGGAAAUAUGUCUCUGCUGAAAGCAUCACGUGCCUUAUCAAGCUCAACUCCUGAUGUUUUAAGUAAGAAAUCCACUGGUAGAUAUAUUCAACUGGCCGAUGAUGGACAUAUGGCUGUACCAAGGCUAGUGAAACGACCACAAGCCAACAAUAUUGAAGUUGGAGCAGGCUCUAGAUCAAAGACAGUGGCACCAUUAGUUCCCUUACUGAGCUCAAACCCUGAUUUUCCAGGUAAGAAUUUCAUGAAAGGACAUAGUCAACUGGGUAAUUUCAGAGAUCUCUCAGUACCCAGGUUUGUGAAACCAAACCUAGCUGGCUCUUCUAUAUCAGGAACAGCUUUUGAGCCAAAGAAAGUGACGCCAUCCGUUCCUUUGUCAAGCGUAUUGCCUGAUUUCAGCAAGAAGUCUUCUGGAGAACAUGGUCCACUUUUAUACACUAGCUUCCCUGAGCCUGCUGUAGAGAGGCAUUCCCAUACCUUUCCCCGAAUGCAACCUGAAUCCUUGGUUGAUCGGUUGGAUACUGCAUAUAUAGCACCACGUCUUGGAACUUCACCUGUCCCUGGAUCACUAGCUGAGGUAUAUCGCCUUAAGAAGUUGAUUGAAGAACAUGGGUCGCAUGAUCGUGCAGGAAAUGAUUAUGUUGGUGAAAUUCCUGCUCCAUCUUCUGUGCCUGGCGCAGAGCAUCCAUCUUUUCCUUUGGAGCCCUUGAGGGUAAAAUUCCCGUCCACAGAUCUUUUUGACAAUUAGUUGUUGUGCAUUUUCUUGUUCUCUGACAACCACAUCUCUUUGUUUACAGAAAGAUAUCAGUUACUUCCAGUCCUUAAUCAGGCAACAUGGAGAAGAAAAAGGAAGUCAGGAUGAUGAGCUGUCUCUAUAUGGAAUAUCUCACAAUCACCUGCAGUCCAAGGAAUCAGAUCGAAAGUAUAAGAGAACUUGUAAGUUGUAUAAUAGUUCAAUGGGAUGCCGAAAUGGUUCCAGCUGCCGUUACGAGCAUGAUGUACCUGGACAGUGGAGGUCUGAUGUUGUGUUAGAGGCGCCUGGUGCAAAGAGGUUGAAGCUUGGUGGAAGUUUUACAGGGAGAACAUGAAGUAAAAUGUUGUGAGAGAUUGGCAACUAAAUUGUUAUUUCCGCAUAGUUGUUAUAGUUUGUACAGCUCAAGGACCAUUCUGUUUAAGUUGGCAGUUAAUGUCAACAAUGGAGGUCUGAAGGAACAUUUGUCAUAAUUUAGAAUUUCAGGACUUCCCUUCUUGUUUUCUCUCCUAACGUGAGUCUUUGUUUGAGACUCGACCUAUAGUAGCUUGAAUGGGCCACUUCUAAGGAGUCGAUCAAUUAUCAGAUGAGUGAUGUUGAGCAUGCGAGAUUGCUGGACUCUCAAGAAUACAUCUAGGUCAUACGGGGAGAAAUUUUCUUGCAAUUUUCAUUUCAUUGCAAUGCAUGCAAAAAGGGAUCCAGAGUUCUGCAAGUCUAAAUGGUUUUCAACUACCGUGAAGUAACCGGCUCUUUUCUGCUAGUGGUUCUCCUUACUGGACUUUUUUCAAGUGGUUCAUCCUUACUAGGCAUUUUUUUUUUGGGGGGGACAGACGUCCUUACCAAACUAAUAGAGCCAACUUCAAUUUUCAAUUUUAGAGAGAGUAAAAUUGGUAAUUUGGUUUGAGAUGUCUUUUAAAAGUUUCAAUUUCCAACUAAUAGUUAAAACUAUACCUUCUAUGGUUCUUUUAUUUUUUCGUUGAUCUCCUUAAAAACUAAUUUACAUCUAGGACAAUUGUCAUUGUUGAAGUACUAAAAACAAAAGAAGAAGAAGAAGAAAUAUUUCAACUUACCCCUUUUUUUGAAGCUAAAUAUUUCAACUUACUCUUUGGUGUCAUCAUAUCUCUUCUUUUCUCUUUAUUUAAUACUCACAAUCAAGAGAUGGCUUUUAUUCAAACUUCGUCUGCUUAUCUCUUCUUGCAUCUCCAAAUCUUUCCAACCAAAUGAAAGUGUCAUUAUGUAAUCAAAAAUGAGAAGGGGGCAUUUGAUAUUCUUGUUACAGUUCAAAGAAUGGUAAAGACAAAAAGCAAUAUAAGUUACAGAAAAGAAUAAGACGGAAAAUAGGACCAAUUAAUGAAAAUAUCCAAACAUAUGGAGGGAGAAGAGGAGUUUAUGAAAUAGAACGCCCUGCACCCUUUUUCUUAUCUUUAGUAAUUAGUCUGACACAUCGAGGAAAUUUAGGUAGGUAGAUAAAAGAUUUCUACUCCAACCCAGGCACGACCUUAGACAAUGAGCACACUCUACGAUAUAAUUCACACUUAGAUAGCCAAACAAAGGUUGAAUUUGGAGUUAAAUGUUACUUUGUUAAUAGAUUUCUGUUCCAUUCCAAGCACGGACCUAGACAAUUAGAAUGGUUUGUGAUAUAAUUUGCACUCACAUUACCAAUUAUAGUUUGAAUUUAGAGUUGGGUUUUUUUUUUAAUCGAGACGGUAGAAUUGUAUUACUUGACACAAAAGUAUUUACAAAACGAGCAAAUGCUCGAUACUUACAACGUGCCAUUAGCACAGCAAAUUAGAAUUAACCCUACGUCUUGAUAAUUGCUCAAAGCUUGAACACUAAACUGAACACUUGGAUAAUUUCUAUUCACCAUUUCUAAGCAAAAGUAGCAUUGUAAAACAAGGUACUCAGCCCUUGGACGUCCUGUAUCAAUAAUGUUGUUACCCACCCAUGCAUCCAUUAAUUUUUUUCGUUGGAUUUUCUGUAGAAGAUUUUUGUCAGGAACUCCAAUGUUGACAAGUCUCCAUUCCUGUUCUGCUGCCUUGAUUAGAGCAAGCUUGACACCCUUCAGCAAGUUUGAUUCUCACUUGCUCUUUCUCUCAUUGCCCAUCCCAUUAGGUCCUACUCUCUUCCUUCAUUUGCCACAAUACCAUAGCCAACAGCUCUUUCUUUCUUGUUCCAUUGCACAGUUAUCCUCAGAUGCAUUCCUAUUGAUGUAGUCUCAGCAUUCUGCACUGCAUCUUGGCCACUGUGUUGCUGACGUACUGUUGUUUUACCUAUGUUACACCUCCUAGCUCUCCCUACUGCAUGGUCGAAUUGCCAACUAUGGCUUGAGUUUGGAAUUAGGAGUUAUUUCAUUACCAUAUUCAUUGGAUAUGGUUAGGCUGUGUUUAGCUUUAGAUCUUGUAGUGCUUCUUUGUUCUCACCUUAGAUUAGUUUCUUUGUAAUUAAAGGAUAGCCUGCUUCCAACCAUAUUUAAAAAAAAAAUUAUAUCUGCGGUUUUUGCACUCUUUGGCUUAAAAACAGUGAACUUCUUAAUUUAUCUCAGAACUUACAAACAAUAUGAAUCUAUGUAAUUGUUUAAAACACUCGUGUUGAAAUGAUUAUAGCUUCUUUCUAUUGUUAUGUAUUAAUUUGAUUUUGCAAAAACAACUGUGGAAUGGCAAAAUGUCUAUGGUUGCUUCGGUGGCGUUACACUUAGAAAAGAUAAGGAAAACUCUAGACCUUUUGUAAGACUGUUUCUAUUGGUCAAAGUAUUAAAUUUCCUUAGGCUGGUUUGGAUGAAUUUUGGACCGUCACUGGGAGAAGAACCAAAUAAAAAAAAAAUUAAGAGAAUACAAGAGAACGGAAAUGAUUGAAUAGUUAAUAUGGUUCGCAUUCCAAAAGUGGCAAAACAAUGAGGAAAAUUUAUUGAAGCCUACAUUUUUUAUUGGACAAAUAGUUCAAAACGUCCCCAUAUUUCGUUAAAUGAAUGAUAAUUUUAUAUCAUUUAUAAAAUUAAAUUGGCAAAAUUUGAUCUCAACCUAAGUUUUUGACCAUUUUUUACCCUGAAUCCACAUAUGAUUAUUGCUUUAAGGACAAAAAUGUUAGAUCCUAUUUGUAGUUGAACAAAUUAUCCUAUCCAUAUUUAUUUUUACCUCUAAAAAAGGAUGAUCUAACUCAAACCAUAUUCAAAAUUUUCCAAAAAAAAGAGAUUUGACCCAAUUUAUAUUCAUUUUGUAUCACUAAAAAAAGUGAGAUUUGACCUUUUUGUACGUAAAAAAUGAUUACAUAUGAUCACAUAAGUUAAAAAAGUGAUUGGAAACCUAGGUUAGGACUAAGAAUUUAUAAGAAACGUAAAAUUAAUAUUUUAAAAAUGAAGGACAAAAUAAUUCAUUUAGUGAGAUGUGAGCAAUGUUUUGAACAAUUUUUCCUUAUUUAUUUUCAAAGUUCUAAUUCUGCCCACGAGAUGUUAAAGAAUUAACAUAGCGGUGCUUGAUUAUGAAAAAAAUCAUCCAUUUUUGUUAAUCUCUCAAAUGAAGCAAGGGAAAAUCAUGAAGUUUUAUCUUCAUAUUUAUCAUUUAUAGACACUAGCAUUCUAACCCCUGCUAUGCAUGGAUUUAUAUUUCAACUUUCAAAUUGAAAAUUAAAAUUUGAAGCAAAAGAAAAAAUUCUCAUAACUUUCAGUUUAGUUUUAUGCUUUUAAAAUAACUUAUAUUUGUAUCUUCGAAAUAAAAGCACCAGACUUAAUUACUUGGUAUAUAAAUUUGGAUUGAAUAGAGUCAAUUUUUCUUUUGAAAAAGUUCAUAAUUGAUUCCAUAUUCAUUCUCCCAAUUGAAAGGAAAAAUUUGAAGGAAAAAAACCAUAACAUGCAAUUUAGUUUACUAAUAUUUUUAGAAUAUAUUUAAUUUUAUCUCCUAUAAUAUGAUAACUAUAAUAAACCAAGAAUUGACCACAGUGGUUGUAAAUAUUGGCAUCUAAAGAUGUAAGUAAAAAAAUGAUAAUAUCUUAUACUAUCCCUUACAACUAUAAAAAUAAUAAAAAAUUUAGAUUAUAAAAAUGGCAGAGUAGUGUUACAUAUUUAUAUAUGAAGAAAACAAUAAAAAAUACAUAAAAUAGUCAAUAAUAUUCAAAGUUCUUUUUAGUAGUUGGAUUUCACACUCUUAUUCAAACCCAAUUAGUGUCGAAUUUAGAUCAAAUAUAUAUAAAUUGGGUUGAUAUAGUUACUGUCAAAUGUUCUAUAUCUUUCUAUUAAACUAUAUUGUUACCUAUUUCUCUAUUAUUGGUAAGAUUUGUGUUAUUUUUAUUUUUAUUUUUAUCAAAAACAAAAUUUUAAAUAAAAAUUUCCACUUUGACGGACUAGUAGGAUUUUUUUUUUAAUUUAGUGAUUUUAUAAUUUAGGUUUCAAGAAUAGUACGUUAUUAAUUUUUUAAAUCCAGGGCUAAUAAAUAUUAUUUCUUUUUUUUGUUUUGUGCUUUUAGUUAGAGUUACUAAGUUGAAAGGUAAAAUAUUAUUUUUUACUUUUUUAGUCUUAAUAGAACGUAUGAUGUUUCAUCUUUAUUUACCCUUUCAUGAUAAACUUCAAACCAAAUUCUUAUAUUAAUGGAGCCACUUCUUACAUUUUAAAUUCAAAAGGCACGAAGAAAUAUUUAAUAAUUAAAAAUUUUAAAAUUCUAUAAAAAAAAAAGAAUAUGGAGUUGGAAGCAUUAUAAUUUGACCAUUCUAAAAACCCUUUCUUCAAUUUAUAUAAACUAGUCUAAACACCUGUGCUACGCAUAGUAGAUCAUGUUUUUGGAAGAAAUUAUAAUCGAUGGAGAAAUUUAAAAAGAGUAAGAAAUGUACGUAAUUGUUCGUAUAAUUUAGGGCACAGGAAAGUAUAGUUAAAAAAUGAGAUUUUGUAGCAAUAGUUCAAUAUAUGAUAAAAGCAUCCCCAUUAUUUAUAAACUACCACAUUGAUGGAAGUUAAAUUCUGAAAAAAAAAUAGAAAUCUAUAUCAUAAAUUGAGCGACAUAAGGGUUCAAUUAAAUGUCACUGAAUAUUUAAUUUGAUAAGUAAAUGAACUACUUACAAAUAUUUUGCCUUCGAUUUGAUAAUCUUUUAUGAAAGUGAGAACAUUUUUCACACCAAUCAACUCUGAGUACAAAUACCAGUAUUGGGGGUUUAAUUAAUUCUGUUGAAUUUUGUGGAGUUUGUACUAUAAAUGAGAAUGCACAAUUUUCGCAUGAAUUAAUGUGUUGGUCAAAUAAUAUACUACCAUUUACCUAACAAUUAAGAGUAUACAAAAUUUAGAAUUAUCAUUUGUUUUAGAAAGUUUGUAAAUAAUAUUGUAUAAAAAUAUAUACGUAUAAAUAAUUUAUACCUUCCCUUUUAAAUCUCUACGAUAAGAAGCAACACAACAAAGUAUGAAUCAUGCAUGCCUGUCUUGAAGAGCGAGAUAUAGGUUACUACUGGAAUUUCUAACUUGUAUAUUAACAUUGUAUAUAUUAAGUUGAAAUUGUGAUAUACAAUAAAAAAUGUAAGUAAAAUUAAAUAUAUGGGAAAAUAAUUACCUAAUAACAGUGUCAACUAUGUCAUUACAAUGGAUACACACCAUUUUUGAAUAAUGAGAUUGACAUGGUUGUCCACAAUUUUUGCAUAACUUAUGGAACAUAUUGUCUAUGUUAAUGCUUUGAAUGCAAGCAAGUAUCCGAAAAUAUUUAACUUAAAACCAUUCAAAAAAUGUAUAGAUUACAACUAUUAAUUCAAAAUAAUAUGUAGAUCAUUGUUCAAUAAUUAAUUAAUUGAAAGAAUUUUUACCUUAGGUGUGACUGCAAAUGUUUCCUCCUUUAGAAUCUAACGAGUUUGAAAUUUAGGCGUUGGUGAAAGAGAUGGUAAAUUGCGAUUUUUGGUAAAAUUAUGUUGUUAUCUCUUGUUAUUGGAUUGGAAGAGUUUUAAUCGAAGUGGAAUUGCUAAUUGGAGGAGUAUUAAUUGAAGUGGGAAAAGUGUGUGAAGGGAAGAGUGUUAGUUGGAGUGGAAUUCUUAUUUGAUGAAAACGUAAGUGUGUGUUUCAAAUGUAGACAUGAUGUAUUUUACGAAAUAAAUUAAAUGUAAAAUGCUAGAAAAACGAAAUUGGGAGUGGGAAAGUGUGUGAAGGUUUGUUACUAAAAAUCCCUUCUCAAAUUUAUACAGAUAUAGAUAUAGAAUAUCUCGCUUACAAUAUGCUCCCUAAAUGAUUAGCUCUAUAUAAUAGUCGUUCAUCCGAAUGUUGUAUGAUUACAAGAUUUCAACAACUUCCAUAAACUUUUUUUUUUUUUUUUUUAUCAAUGAUAUCUAUGUUUAACUCUAAAUAAUCCGCUAUAGCUAAUUGUCAGUCAGAUACUUAUUAAUUGCACUAACUACAUCACGUUAGCUCAUAAAAAUACACUAGUCCGCUAGAAUAGUCCAUCAUAUUACAUGAACGUGUUUGAAAUUUAAUUGGUCUAAAAUAUAAUUGCAUUAUUCUAACAAAUGCACAUUAACACAUAUAAAUCACACUAAAUUUAUUAUGUAAUGAUCUUUCAUUGCUUUUAUACACUUUCCCUAACUACUUUUUUUUUUUUUUUUAAAUAAACAUCUUCUUCUUUUGUGGAGUGCUUAGCAUGGGCUCGUUAAAUAACUCCAAUAUAAUUGUAUAUUAUGUUACGUGUACAAGAGCACAAGUGCUAGUUCCUAAUUUGAAGUUAUAGACUUUCGUUGAUUAAUCGUGGGUUGAAAAAGAAUCUCAUCUUCUACAACUCGUACAUCUUGCCUUCCAUGUUCCAUCUAAAUAUCUCCAUAAUAAAUUUGCAACCAAAUCCCGGAUUACAUAAGAUUAACUUACCUUAUGAGAUUGGUGACAAAAGGAAAAAAAGUAUUGAAAUUAAUAAGAGACCCUUGAUGAUAGCGGGAAAGUGAGUCGGACUCAAAUAAGUGCCCACGAAGCUGACGGCUCAAAAACCAAAAGAAGCCCACGUCAGUAGCGGUGGCAGAAGCAGAUGCAGAUGAAUAUCCCCGCACUUUUUCAGGUAAAAGUACGGUGGCCUAUGACGCUAAUUACACUAAUCAUUUUCUCUCCAAUUCGGGCAACGCGGAUCAAUGCGUAUGCAGCAACCCUGGUCUCGUCGGCACCUCUUCAACCCAAGAGACGUGUUUGUUAAAACGCUUGAGCUCAAGCAAAACGGCCGAAACUCAAACAAGACGAAGCAGAAAAUAAUCGCUUGUUAUAACCUCAAAAUUUUCCUCUAGGGCUUUUGCAUUCUAAUAUCUAGAACAUUCCUAGUCUUGGAACACUGCCCAAAAAAAAAAAAAGUUUUCUCGCUGCUGCUGCUUAAAGAACUUGAACUUGAUUCAACUAUUACUGCAUUAGUGCUUCCGGUUCCUAAAUGUGGUGUAAAUCGUGUUGAAUUUCUUUAUGUCAAACAAGAAAAAAAAAAUGAAGCGAGAGAAGAAAUCCAGCAGAGUUUGUUGGGCAACUGAAGCUAAUCUUUGUCAGGUAUACUCACACUAAUGCUGUUGAUGAUCAUCAUUGUAUCCGUACUAAAUUCGUGUAUUGAAUCAGCUUUUCAGUGUUUUUUUUUCUGAAAAAUUUUGAUGUGUCAUUUUUUUUUGGGAAAAUAUUAUUACUUGGUUUUUACGACUUCAAAAAUGAGAUUUCAUGCUAAUUUGUGAGUGCACAUUAGUUUACAAAUUUGCAAACAAAUAAUUUGUGUGCAUUCAUUUAUCUAUUGUAUUUGGGAACAGUACUUUAUUGAUUUUUAUUGGUAACCUAAUUGAUUCUGUCCAUUGUAGUAGGAUUUGCUUUAAGAAGCCACAACUAUUGUUUUUGGAGAGACCAGGUAUUAAAAACUCUGUUGUCUUAAAAAAUGCAGUUCUUAAAAAUACAAACAAAAUUGAAAUUUUGAAAAGAGCAUCAUGGACAUAAUUUAGAUAUACAGUCAGUAAAUUUUUAGACAUAUGGAAGUACACAUUAUAAGAGAUAAAACGAGAUAAAAAGGUCAAUAAUCAUUCAAUUUAAGUUUAAACUUUAAAGGAAGCUUUGAACUAUUUGAGGUGUUAAUCUGUUACAUGGGGAAAUCAAAUUCUGUUCUACAUUAAUGAACGCAACUCAUACUUUAGGGAAGCAAAUUUCUCCUUCCUGGAUGCAUGGAUGCAUCUAGUUCUGUGGAGGAAAGAAUUCAACCAUUUAAACAAGCUUUUGAGAAUCCUUCAUUCUCAUUUCACGGAAGAAGUACUCACUGAGCUCCAAUACGUUGCUAAUACACUUAUAGGCUGGAUGUGUUUUGUGUUUACAAGGAUUCUACGUGCAUAGCUUUUAAUUUAUAUCUUACUAAAAGAAAUGCAAACUAAGAUGUUUUCGACCAAGCAGCGUGCAUGCAGUCAAAAGAAGGAGAGUAAACAAAGAAGUUCAGGCAGGAACAGUUUGCAUCAUUUUUGAGGCAAAGAGAAUGUCUAAAACAUAAGGGAUUCUGAGAGUUCUUCAAGCAGGAAGGAGAUGAAGUUCUGCUUAUACUUUGUAUAAGCUGUUCUGCCUAAGCAUGUGAUCUGACCAUAAGCUAUUGAAGAUCAUUAAUUUUAACUAAAUGAUCUACAGAUUUCAAGCCUUCGAAACUUGACUAACAGAAGUAUUAUCUGUCACUUAGAUGCAUUCUUUUGAUAUGAUGUUGGUGAUGUUUUGCUUUUCAGAAGUCAUUGAUAAGACAAAACAUUUUGGAAGAUGUGAAGAAUGGUAACAAAAAACUGUCUGGAAAAUACUUUAAUUUCAAAAGUUUUCAAGGUGGAUAAAAUGUCCUGUUUAAGUCUUUGACUUAAAGGUUCCCAAGAUUGAAUGAGCUACUCUUAAGACACUUCUUAGAUGCCAUUGAAUUGACGAUAAUCCUGAUGCUAAAUGAUAUGCUAGCAUGUGCACUUAUCAAGCUGGCAUUCAAUGGGUGUGCCAAUGCUUAGUUAGAGCAUGUUAGUCAUUAUGGGCACCAUUAAUGGGAAUAAGUGUGCUAUAAUAUCAGACCUAUUGUUCACUGUAUGUGAAACUAUUAUCAGCUAAUGUUGUCGAAAAAUGGUAAACAACUCCAAAAGAUAACUUGAACAUGUUGGGAGUCAAAAGAAACAUAAUCAUCUAAACUUUAAAUUACGCUUUGCAUUUUUAGGUCUACUUAGAGCAUUAACUUUAGGGUAAGCUUAUUGUGAUUGGUUUGUAACGGUCCACGAGGGAGCUAUUUCACAAUCUGAAGCAGCUAUGAUGUUUAUCGAAGUACAGAAAGAGCUGUUACAAUAUAUGCGUCAGUCAUGUUAUGAGUUCAAGGAAAGGACAGAGUCAGCUGAUAGAUCAAUGGAAUAUAUACUUUGUAAGGAGAGGAAAAGUUGCUCUCUUUUGCCAAUGUUAAGUCUGAUUUGUUAGAAUUAGGCCAUUGGAGUAGCUUAGGAAACACAGUUGGUUAUUGUAAAGUGUGAAAUAAUGAGUUCAAGUGGAUGAAAACUAACCAACAGGGAUAGCCUCUACCUAUUAGGUUGUAGUUGCAAUUAUGUUAAAUCAUCUUGAGCAUAAUUCUCAGCUUCUGAGCAGCACAAACCUAGAGUCUAGCAGGGUAUUCAAAGUCCCUAGAGCAGUCCACAGUUUCUGCCUUUUGCUUAGAUAAAGGGGUAGAAAUAAUGGCACAUUGGAAGUUCUUGUAUGCGCACGCAAUGAACGGUCUCUGGGGAGGUUGUUGAUUCUUGUUUUUAAAUGAAACAUGUACCAUGCAGUGUGAUGUGUCCCCAAGAAGGCAUCAUCACUUGCAUGUGUGACUCAUCAGUAGGAGAAUGCUCCAAUAUGAACGAGAUCACUUGCUUUAGUUGUGAACAAACAGUAGGUACAUGGUUCUUCUUCUUAUCCACACGCUUUUAAUUUGGUAAACUAUAAAUUUGUGUUAAUGUGCUUUACUCUGAGGAUUAGUUGACUUGCCAUGCUUUUCUGUGUGCUUGUUGCAGAAACAUUGAAGUUAUCGAAGGGUUUUCGUAUAUGAUUUCAUAAUCAUAGGCAGUUCUAUGCCAAAAUUAAAGGAAAAUUGAUUCUCAACAAAGUGGAUGCUUGGUUAAAUGUACAUAGAACUUUUGCUUCUUUCACUGAUAAAAAUAAAGUUGGUACGUUUUGGUUUUUGGCAUGGACCUCAGCUUUAAUGUUGUCUCUUAAUUACAUGCUUGAUGUGGAAUGUUGGUAAACUGUCACAUUUGGCAUGGAGCUCAGUGAUCAUUAUAUUCUUUGUAGAUGUAUGUGGAUGUUUAAAGUGCAUUGAUAUGAGAAAGGAAGAGGACAAAUUUUUUUAAAUGGAUGACCUUGGUUAGUUGGAGCUAAAAAAAUGAUGAUUAAGUGAGUACUUCCCUUCAGAAAUCCUUGGCUUCAUAAUCAUGUCACCGCGUGGUAUCUUCUAGUUUCUAACGGGGAGUCUUCUUUCAUUUCAUAGAUGCUUGGGAUGUUUCAAUUAUUUUGGUUAUCAAUUUCAGCAUAUGAUAUCAUCACUUACUAUGUCAAAUAUGACAAUGCUCACUUCUACUUAGGUUGAACCAGUAUAACUUUAAGAGUAUAGUGGAACAGUAUUCACUUGACACAAUGUAUAACCGUUACUUGCAUUUGAAGUCAUAACUUUGCUCAUCUUGAGUUAAGAAUGCUUACGCCCUGUCAGCUCCACCAUAGUUGCACCAUAAGUGGAUAGUGUGAAUUGCUGAAGUCAUUGUUUUGAUGCUUCUUGCUCCAUUGUUUUCUGUUGAGUCAUUGCUUAUUGCUGCUAAAAGGAGCAUCUUUCGCUAUCUCAAAUAAUGCAUCCCAAUACAGAAUAAUAAAGUUCUUCGCCCUUCUGUUAAAUAUUUAAUACGCUACUUUAUAGGCUGUUACCUUUGCUUUUCGAUAUGUGGUUUAAAUUCUCUUGAUUUACAUACAUAUUGGUCUCGCUGAAGUUGUCGAACCACUUUUUGAGUUAAAUUCAGCAAGACUUUAUAUGAAGCACCUCUGUUGCAGUUCUCUAGUUGUCUUUUGUCUGCAAGGAGUAAUGUUUUGAAAUAUGGUUGUGCACACAAACAAAUAAUUUCGUCAUGUUUUACUAUCUUGAAGUGUAUGCAUUGUCUAGGUAAAGUAUAUAUUGCAUUUAGUUGGGAUGAGAAGGCAGGUUCUUGAAUGUGAAGGCAAUGAAACUUCUGCAGCAGGAUGGGUGAAAUGAAGUUAUUGCUGUCUCCUAUAUACUGUUCCUUUCACUUCCAAUUCUGGGCUUCUGGGCUUGUUUUGGGGUUCAGGGUUGGGGGGAAUGGGGGAUGAUUGAAUUGGCUGCUAUGUGGUGCGUCAAACAAUGUAGUCCUGGUGGUUCUUUGUCAGCUUUGUCGUCUCUCUACAUGCUUUAGGUAUAUUACCACGUUCUUUACAUAUUUAUCCGAUCCAAUACAUUCCAGGUCCCUCGUUUGUUAUUUGUGCAGGUAAAAUUUUUCCAAUCAGAAGAUUGCCCAUCUGCGGUAGGUAGGGAACCUCCUGGAAAUCCUCACGAAAGGGUAUCAAAUGCAAAUAUUGCGACUGCUGAUGGUUGUCCUGGAUCGUCAGUCGGAAGCUACCCCAACCUACUGAGCCAUAAAGGUGUCUCACACAUUCCUCAGAUUCCGUGGAGAACUCCUCCUCGAGUAAGCUUAUGAGAAGUGAUAAGACUGCAUAAUUUUCACAUUUUGCUUCUCAAGUUUGGGUAACCUAUUAUGUAUUUAUCAAGCAGUUUGAUUUGAAGUUUAAAUGUCACGUGGCUGCUGGGGAAGAAAGUGAAGAAGUAGAGGUUCAAAAGCAUAGGGAAAUGAGAGUGCGUGAGGUAGUUUAUCCUCACUUUUCUGCUGUUCCUCCCAGGUAAAGUAAACUCUUUAGUUUAAUACAAUUAAUUGCUUUCUUCUCUUGACCACAUCAUUGGCAUUUUGCAAAUAGCCCCUCGAUCUCAUCGGAUGUGGAAGCCGAACAUUUUGAUGAUUGGCAUACUCCGGUUAUUCCUGUCAUUGCAAUUGAAGAAGCAGCAGAAACGGACUGCCUGUAUAAUGAAACAGCAGCGCUCAACAUUUCCGCCAAGUCAGAACCAGCAAAUAUGUCCCAAAGCCCAUCAACUUCUGAAAUUUUUGACAUCCCUCAGAGCAAGUCUCUUCUUUCUCGAGAGCUAUCUAAAGGUAAAAAAUCUGAUCAUGCACCACUGCAAGAUCUAGAUGGCCCAAUGGUUGCAGCAGCAGCUGCCACAACUGCAAUCAUGAAAAGUAAAGAGCAUGGAAGUUUAAUAGGCCCAGAGUUGAUGAUAAAGCUUCUUAGCAACCCAAAAUUGGUACAGAAACUGAUUGAUGAACGAGGACUAGCUUCAGAUACUACAACUGGAACAUCUGGAUCAAGGAAGGCCGAGUCUUCAGUUCACCGUCCAAGCUCUCAAGGCAGCUUUCUGUUUGAGGAAGCUACCAUCGAAAGCUGCAAAUCUGACAGUCCCAGAACAGAGUUCAUCCACAGGUCGUCAAAGAUGAAAGGCUCACCAGCUGCCCCAAGUAGAAUUAGGGCUUACGUGGCCAGUACUAAAACUGGACCAUCAUCUGCAUGGGAUGAAGUAGAACAGUCACUUCAUUUUCAGAGCUCAACUCUUGUUUCAUUGGUCCAGAAGUCCACUACCAAAAAUACACGGCCAGGCAAUGCAGGAAUUGAGGCUCUACUAAGGCCAGGGAAUCAAUCAUUAGCUGCUAUGGCACAAAUUGGAACAGGUCUUGGACCAAAGCAAGUGACCACAUCAAUUUCAUUACUGAGAUCAAAGUCCGAUUUGCCAAGUCAGAACUCCAAUUGUGAAGUCUUUCAAAGAGCUGAUGUUGGAAAUAUGUCUCUGCUGAAAGCAUCAGAUGCCUUAUCAAGCUCAACUCCUGAUGUUUUGAGUAAGAAAUCCACUGGUAGAUAUAUUCAACUGGCCGAUAAUGGACAUAUGGCUGUACCAAGGCUAUUGAAACGAGCACCAUCCACCAAUAUUGAGAUUGGAGCAGGCUCUUGCUCAAAGACAGUGGCACCACCAGUUCCCUUGCUGAUCUCAAAUCCUGAUUUUCCAGGUAAGAAUUUCAUGAAAGAACAUAGUCAACUGGCUAAUUUCAGAGAUCUUUUCGUACCCAGGUUUGUGAAACCAACUGUAACUGGCUCUUCUAUAUCAGGAACAGCUUUUGAGCCAAAGAAAGUGACACCAUCUGUUCCUUUGUCAAGCGCAUUGCCUGAUUUCAGCAAGAAAUCUUCUAGAGAACAUGGUCCACUUUUAUACACUAGCUUCCCUGAGCCUGCUGUAGAGAGGCAUUCCCAUACCUUUCCCCGAAUGCAAGCUGAAUCCUUGGUUGAUCGGUUGGAUACUGCAUAUAUAGCAGCACAUCUUGGAACUUCACCUCUCUCUGGAUCACUUGUGGAGGUAUAUCGCCUUAAGAAGUUGAUUGAAGAACAUGGGUCGCAUGAUUGUGCUGGAAAUGAUUAUGUUGGUAGAAUUCCUGCUCCAUCUUCUGUGCCUGGCGCAGAGCAUCCAUCUUUUCCUUUGGAGCCCUUGAGGGUAAAAUUCCCAUGCACAUAGCUUUUGACAAUUACUUCUUGUGCAUAUCCCUGCUCUCUGACAACCACAUCUCUUUCUUUACAGAAAGAUAUCAGUUACUUCCAGUCCUUAAUCAAGCAAUACGGGGAAGAAAGAGGAAAUCAGGAUGAUGAGCUGUCUCUGUAUGGAAUAUCUUACAAUCACGUGCAAUCAAAGGAAGCAGAUCGAAAGUCUAAGAGAGCAUGUAAGUUCUAUAACAGUUCAAAGGGAUGCCGAAAUGGUUCCAGCUGCCCUUUCGAGCAUGAUGUACCUGGACGGUGGAGGACUGAUGUUGUGUUGGAGGCGCCUGGUGCAAAGAGGGUGAAGCUUGGUGGGAUUUUUACAGGGAGAACAUGAAGUACAAUGUUAUUUCUGCAUGGUGGUUAUCGUUUGUACAGCUCAAGGACCAUUCUGUUUAAUCUGGCAGUUAAUGUCAACCAUGGAGGUCCGAAAUAAAAUUUGUCAUAGUUUAGAAUUUUAGGAGAAACAUAUUUUGAAAUGUCCUCUGCAUCAGUGACGGAGCCAGGAUUUUUUUUUUGGAGGGGUCAAAAUUGAAAUUCCAUUCAAAGAUGACUAAUUCAUAUAUAUAUAUAUAUAUAUAUAUAUAUAUAUAUAUAUCAACUCUCAUAAUAUAAACUAAAAUUGAAAAAAUUUAGGGGGGUCAAUUUUAUUUUACAUACAUAUUUACAUAUUAUGAAUUAAAAUUCUCAAAACUUAGGGGCCCUUGGCUCCGUCAUUGCUCUGCAUUGUUUAGUACAGACUACAGAACUUCCCUUCCUGUUUUCCCUCUUCACCUGAGUCUUUGAUUCAGACUCGAUCUAUGGUAGCUUGAAUGGGCCACCGGCCACACCUAGGGAGUUGAUCAUUUUUCAGAUGAGUGAUGUUGAGCAUGCUGGAUUCCUGGACUGUCAACAAUACAUCUCGGUCAUAUGGGGAGAAAUUUUCUUGCAAUUUGCAUUUAUUGCGAUGCAUGCAAAAUGAGAGCCAGUGUUCUGCAAGUCUAAACGGGUUUCACCGACCGUGAAGUAAUCGGCUCUUUUCUGCAAGUCUGGUGGUAUUUUUGGUGUUCUGGGCCGCUUGUAGAAGGCAUGGUAGAUUGCGAGCUGCCCAAGUUGGGAAAGCAAAACCUUGUUCGGUACUUGAUAUGGGGCUUAAUCUUUUUCUGCUUAUUCUUUAGUCCGAGUCAAAUCUGGCCAUCUUUGCUUCCUAGCUUAUUCUUCCCAACCGCCCCACUCUUCAGGAUGAUAAAGUCCGUUGUUCUAGCUUAUUCUUCCUAGUUUUGCUUGCUUCUUUACGGCUAUACUUCAGAUCAACAAGCACAUCCUCCUAAUUUCUUUCAAUAUCACGAAACGGCCACAAUUUUUGAAGUUGCUCCCAUCCGCCAGACAGUCUCCUGUCCCAGAGAACUUUCCCAGAAGGCUGAAUAGUAAAUCACUUUUCAAUCUUUGAUGCGCCUCAACAGCUCCAAGUUCAAUGGUGUAUUGGCUCUACUUGGGCACACCAUAAGAACCCCAAUUUGAUCCAUAAAAAAUUUGUAUUGCCCCUAACAACGUGGUAAUCUUCUAAAAGUUUCACUACUCCAAAAGGGAAAGAACCGCGGUCAAUCUACAGUUAGAUCUGAAGCAUGUCGUGUCAGGUAGCCUUGGCGCCAAUCGUUUCCGGAAGUUGGAAAGAAAUAAGCGAGGUUAAGAGACUAAUAUAUGAAUUCAUAAGCAUCGGUGAAGGUUGCGAGCGGCCCAAUGCUAUUACUUACCUCCGGAACUUAUAUUGUGUGUUUUGUAAUAAUAGGAUUGAGUUUCAGAAUUGCACCGCCAAGAAAGAAACUACAAUUUUGGUUUUCAGAACGAAGCAUAUCUAGUCAGGAAGAUGCUCGCUACCCUUGUGAGCUGCAUGUAAUUCGUUGUAUGUCACAGUAUGCUGCGGCUGUCGGUUUUGGGCAUACAAAAUUACAAAUAAGCAACAACCCAUAAUUGAAUCAAAAGAUACAAAUACUUGAGAAAAAGUAGCUCUUUUUCUUUCCUUGCUUUCUAAAAUCAUGUUUCUUUGAGAUUGAAGCAAUCGUGUUGUCCAAGGCACACAGGCCGAAAAAUGUUUUGCAAUAACCAGUGAUGUUCCACAGAGCUGUAACAGUUCAAAUAGAGGGGAAUAUCAAAAUCUCAAAGUAGAUUGCUAAAUCUUCGCAUUCGUGGUAUGUCAAAAUAGUUCUUCACCAUGCCGUAAUAAUCUGUGACAAUCAACCGGUUCUCAAGAUGAUGUGAACCCCACUGUCAGUAUCAACAAUGUCACUUAUCUCGCCAACCUUUAGAGCAUAUGUUGCUUGCUCAAAAGGCUUCUGCAUCCGUCCCCUUCCAAAUGAGCCUGAAUUGAAGUCAUAAGCUGAAGGGGUAAGGAAGAAAGAUGAAAAAAUUCUGACCAAGAAUUCUUGAAAAAUCCAUUUCGUUACAUAGAAAACACGCACACACACACAAUCAAAAACAAUAUUAGGGUCCAAUAGUUUGAAGGUCUAUACAAAUGAAGCAGCAGAUUAAUUUGCAAGACGACUGCCGCAUAUAAUGCCCUAGGUAAAACCUAGAACCAUUUCAUUAAAACAAGAUAGAAAUUUAUGCUCAAGAACUUGCAAACUAUUCUCCACUUGCACAGAGAACUUCAAAUCUUGGACUAAAACAAAAAUUUAGUAAGCAAUAUAUUGAAAACUAUAAAGCAAGGAGGUGCAUGAGACCCGGCCUAGAGCAAAUCGCGAAUUUUUUUACAAUCUGCAAGUAAUAACAUGCAAACUAGACCAAGAAAUUCUCAGAGAUCUCCAGAAAAGCAUUACUAUUGCUAUAACAUGCAAUCUACAACAACAAAUUCCCCACCCAAAGGCAAAUACGGCAUUCAUACCAGUGAUUGGUUCUAGUGAUCAUUACCAAUUCUCGGGGUCAUAACACCAGGGAUCUCCAACGACACCCCAUAUUAGUAUUAUAACAUACAAUCUAGACCAACAGAUUCCCAGACCCAAGAGCAAUAUGUUUUUCAUACUAGUGAUCAUAAAAUGUCGCUGAUGAGGUUGAGUAGCAUGACGUUGGGCAUGGUGAAUAGUGAUAUUCAUCAUGUAAAAUGAAUUCUCAGCAUAUAUACUCUAUCUUACGCUCUAACCAACUGAAAAUCCAGAAAACUUUAAUUUGAUCCAAAAGUCAUUAAGUGACACAGCUAAUUAUUGGUUGGCAUUCUGCACUUGGGAUGGUCAUAAUCAUCUUUACUUGUGCAAUGAUACAAGCCUCAUGCUGUCACCAAGAUUGCAUAGAACAAACUGAAGAGGACACCCUGUUUAAGUAUGACAUGGAAUUAUCCAAUUAAAACCAUUUCAAAUAAUUCUAUCAGUUUAAAAUGACUAUGCCAAUUAGUUUCCACAUGCUCUAGUACAUUUAGUUUAUGUAUUUGCUUAAGCAGUACAAAUCAACAAAAGUUAGUCUAAUUGAAGAGGCAAUACCCACAACUAAAGAGCUCAAGAAAAGCAUACACAUUAUCAUGGAAUUAUCGAGUAAUACCAUUCCAAAAAAAUAACGAGAAAAGACAAUCGCUAAGAAUGUAAGUUCAGUCAAAGUAGUACUUUUUCAUGGAUGAAGAUUAUAUUGGUAUUACUAUCAUACUAACUCUGGUAAUCUUUUUGAAACACAAUGGCAGUAGAGGUACUUUUCCAAUAUUUUCUUGCUCCUAAUCCAUAUGAAAAUCAAUAAAUUCUAAUACAUAUUCCGGUGAGCUCAAUGUCCUCAAUAAGAAUCCAAAAUACUCGAUCCUUAAAAUGCAGAAACAAAUAAGUAAUUGCUGUACAGUUCCUUAUAUCUGUUUGACAAACAAAAUUUGGGGGGGGGGGGGGGGGGGAAGCAGAGACUUAUCACAAAAAAGAACCAAAAUUACCAGCCUCCACUAACACAUAAGCAUCUUUAUAACAAAUUUAAGAGCUAGAGUCACACGCAAAAUUAAUGAAAAACACCUUAAAAUAAAAAUUAAAAAAAAAUUGAACGGUUAAAUUACAUAAGCACAGCACUUAAAAAAAAAGAAGAAAGUAAAUUAAAAAGAAAAACUAAAUCAAAAUUAAAACAAAAGGGGAUAAAUACCGAGGUCUCCUCCGCGCUUAGCAGAGCUGCAAUCGGAGUAACGAGCGGCAACGUCCUCGAACUUAGCCUUGCCGGAGACGAUGUCUUGGCGGAGAGCUAUGAGCUGAGAAACGGCAGCGUCGCGAGUGGUGUUACUGAUGAUUUGGCCUUCUGGAUCUUUCCAGGAAGCUUUGCGCCGGGAUCCUUCGUGCUUUAUCAAUAUGUGGGAAGCCCUAACGCUAUCUGGGGAAGAUGAGGACGAGGACAUUUUCGUCUUCUUCUUGUGCUUUUCCGACCGAUCCGUCGAUGGAUUCGGAGCCGAAUUCUUCUUCCUCUUCCGAUCUGACUCUAUUUUUGCUGCUUUUAUUGGUUAAAUUUUUAUUCUGCGAAGAGCACCGGAAUGGAGAGAAUGGAGAAAAUGGGAAUUAACAAUUAAGCUCGAGUUUGACCGACCUCGAGUGAUGUUUUGCGCUUCACCAGUGGCGGCUCCAACUCGAAGUUCAGGCUCAAAUACUCCUACAACUCAAAUCAAAUAAUAUUAAACCAAAUUGGUCACUCGCGGCCCUUGGGCUACAUGUGUGCCUGCGCCGUCUGGUCUACAUGGGCUUUUCAGCUAGCCUGUUCCACAGCCCAAUUGCUUUUUUUUUUAUUCCUUUUUUUUUUUUGGUGGGAAGAGUUGGAAAACAAAAAAUGUUGAAGAGCAACAAGUAAAAACUGAUUUUUUGUCGUUAAAUUUGUCCUACUAAUUACUACAAUUAGAAUUUCAGCAAUAGCACCUUCUAUUUUUCUUUUACUUUUCAGCUUUCUAGAAUUAAGUAUUUCCUUCAUUACUGUUGUUUUCUGAAUAAUCUUCAAUACAAGUGAAAAUGCAUUAAUCUGACUAUGAGAUAUUAAAAAAAAAAAUAGAUAAUUGAUGGUACCCAAAAGAAAAGGAUAAAAUUUUAUUAUUUUUGCACGUCCACGUUAUUGAUGGCCUGGUGCCAGUAGCCAGUAGGGUACCCGUAACAGUGCGUAUCCACGACAGAAAAAUUAUAAUAUCCUUGAACGAAUUAACUAAUUAGACUAUAAUAUCCUUUACAAAGCAGAUAAAAUAUUGUACAAAAAAAUAAAUAAAUAAAAAUCAGUCACUCCAAUGUUGAGGAAAAAUGUCAUGAAAUUCAAAUUUGUCAUAAUGCUCAAACUCUCUCAACGAAUCGUUAGAUCUUCCAAGGAAUAAGGGGUAUAAUUUAACAAAAAAAAAUGUCGCGGCCAGCUGAACGAAAUUGAAUAAAUUUUCCUCCGAAAAUAUAUGCCUCCCAGGAUCUCUAAGUUCACCACCAAAAAAUAUUUCUUCCUAAACUUCUCUGAGGAUGGGCCAACCUUUUCUUAGGAUGUCAUUGAUCUUUGCAUGAAUACGUUUUUGCAAUCUUGGCGGACAAAGCUCUGCUGCGUAGCCAUUUAAUUUGGCUGCCAGACUUGAUUUUUCCAGCUCUUCUUCAGGCAAGUUUCCCAUUAGUUGAAGAAGAAACGGAUUCCGUUUCAGCUCAAAUUUCUGAAGAUCACAAGUCAAAAUUUUCAUUAAUGUUCCUUUCAUUCUUGUAAGUGCAUAAUGUGCCCAGUAAGAAUAUCGCAGAAGCCAGGAAUAAGAAAUAGGUUUUAACUUCUAAAGAAAACUAAGCAAAGGCCAUCCUGCACUCAUAAAUUCUGCUGGACAACCUAUUUCAAAAUCUACAAGUUACUACACAGACUCCUUCCUAUCCGUUCCGAAUAGGAGCAAAACAAAGGAGAACCUGUACUUGUAACACCAAGUUUGCUUUUGUGAUUUAUACAAGUUGAUGAAAGAUACUAACCUGAUGAUCAGGCUCUGCAGGAUAGAAUGUUCCCAAUUGCUGAAUUUGAGUGGUUACAAUGCCACUCUUUGACCUUGUCUGCUCUCUUUCUUUACUUACAGAAGCCAAUCUUGACUCUUCAGUUCCAUUUGUGAAAACGAUGGAUCUGCUUGGAAAGUUUCAACUAAGAAAGCCAGCAUUAUGACAUAGAAAAUACAACUUCAAUCCAGGUUACCAACAGUACCUGUAUUGGUUACCCACAUCAGGACCUUGCCCAAACACCUGCCUAGAAUCGUGGCUGGUCCAGAAGACCUCCAAAAGUUGUUUAAAAGUAAUUACCUUAGGAUCAUAUUCAAUCUGCACAGAAUCGAUUUCAAUAUAUAAAACAAGUGUAGAAAUAAUUGAAUGUCUAUUAAAGAGCAUGUUUUGGUAGUUGGUAAUUGCAACAGUAUCUGACUUGGGAGUAAAAUUCCAUUUUCUCUGUAGCGAGACUAGCAUGUUAUCUCAAAGUGUUCAUAAACUUUCAUAUUGCUAUACUUUUAAUUUGGAUGUCUUUUAUGCUAUUGAGGCUAUCAUAGAUUAGAUCAGGCAAAUGGUUUUCCACCUUUCAGCUAAUUCAGGUCACAAGCAAAACUCUUGGCAGGAUAAACAUUACAUUAGCUCCACAGUAGACUAUAAUAAUGAUCUGUUUCAAGGGCUUGAAACAGCUAACUAUGUCAAGAACCCAAAUCAAACAAGUGCCGACUUCAUAACAAAUUAAACUGCAACAAUAGGUUUGUUACAAGCAUUUAGUUCACAAAAUGAAGUACCACUCUUCCACUCUCACUCAGUGCUGGUGGACAACUGAGAAAUCCAGCUGAAAGGUAACAAGUGCAAACAAAGUUGAUGGGAUGACUGAAACCUAUUGUUGCAAGUCCAUUAGCAAUAACCUCAUGCACGGUCAUGUUACAGAAUCUCCAAGGCCUUCUCUAAGCAAACAGAACGAUGACGGUCAAAAACUAAGUUGCAUAGACUGGCUAAAAACAAUUCAAGAUCUUUACACUUGUAUCCCCCAAAACAUAGGAAAUACUUCCCAGUUUUUCUUGAUUAAGACUCAUUAGCAAUAAAAGAAGUUGACUAAUUCUCUAUGAUCUGCCUGGAACAACGAUAGUUCAUAGGAACAAUCAAUAUUUACCAUUUUCCUCUCCUAACUAAUUUUGUUAAUCAUAAAAAUAAAAAUAAAAAAACACAUCCCCAGUACUUAUCUCCAAUCACUCAACAUUAGAGCCUUCUCAGGCUCAACAACCGAGUAUGAGAAUUAGCAAUAAACAACUAAAAACAAAAUGUUGAUAAGUCCUCAAAUUUCAAAUUAGAUCUAAUUGUCCAACCUUUUACCAAUUCGCAAAACCAAAAGACUUAAACCGGUAAUAAAAUGCAAAUCAAUAGGCUGAAGAAAGAAGGAACGUAGGAGGUGACCUGAACAGAUUCAGCGUGAUCACCUAAGCUCCGAUACUCGGGAUUGGUUUUGGAUCCACCGGAAUAGCCGACAGUCGUACGCACUACCCCAUCCAAGCAGCCAAACACCGCUUCCGAUCUCCAGAAGCUUCCUAGAGCAAAAACCGUUGUUUGCAGCUGUUGUUGAUUGGCUGUGUCUGUAAUUGAACCCUCCGAUAACUGGGCGGAGAAUCUGAUGCCCACACAUAAAUCUGCUGCCAAUACAAUGAUUAUGGGUAAAUAGCAUGUAAGGCGCGUGGCCUCCUUCAUUGGGCUCGGAGUUGAAUCGUCGACGGCUAGAAUAAUCCGGUCGGGUCGCUGGAAUUCUUUAUAAUGUUCGACGAAGCCGAGUCCGGUUUCUCCAAAAUUCGGCUGGCUGUGAUCGGGUCAAUCCGAUUCGAAUCCACAAGUCCAUUAUAAAUAUAUUAUCUCAUUUUUCAAUUAGUUGUGAUUUCUCCGGUUAAUGCACGAAUUAAUAAUUCAUGGUUUUCCAGUGGUAUUUUUUUUUUCCUUUCUCUUUUUUAUGUUCUUUUUUUUUUUUGUCAGCUACGCUAUAUUUGUAUAACCUACUCUAUUCUAAUCUAGGGGGAGGGGAGCCUAAAGAGGCUGUUGGGGAGAAUGAUAUCUUCUUUCUAUCAAAAAGGAUUUCUUAGGCUCCAGUUACGAAUUACGACAAAGCUUGUUUAGACACCAUGGCGCUUUUUUUUUUUAUAUAUAAAUUUUGAUUGAUGUAAAGUAAAUGUAGAACCUUCCUUGUGUUGAAUUUCAUUUGUCCACAAAUUUCAAAAAAUAUUUUUUGAAUAAUAUUGGGAAUUGUUGGGAACAAUAAUAUUUUUUCAAAAAAUAUUAUAAUAUUUUUUUGAUGUAAAAAAUAUGUUUAUAAUGCAAUCAAAGAAAUUUUACAAAUAAACAACUGUUCAAACACAUUUGAAUAAGCUUUUGUUUUUGAACAAAAAUUCGUCUAGACUGUUAACAUAUUAUUGUCUUGAAUUUGCUAAGCGCCCUCCAGAGCACCUAGACUGAACCACAUCACAAACAAGAAACAAAUAGAAAAGAUCACAUACAUAUAUUGGAAUCACAGUUGUUCUCAAUAAUGUUGAUACUCACUUUACUUAUUCAAACAAAACCCAGAAAAUUUAGAUGCCUACAAUCAAAGUAAUCAAGCCACAUUUAGUUUUGGCCUACAAAAAAAAGUACAGUAAAUGUUAACUGUUGGUAUAAAAAAAAACAGGAACUAAAUCGAAAAGACCAAUUUGGUGUUGCUUCCUCAUCAGUUUCCUUGAGUUGGUUAUGCGAAUCAUCAUUGGCUUUAAACUAUCCAAAAAUGGUUGAUUUCUAGGAACCAUGAAGUUACUAAGCACACUUGUUCUCGUCCUUGUUAAGUUGUGAGGAGAAGGUAUAUAAGACCUUUCAAAUAUUCAACUAUUUCAGAUCCUCCAAGCUUUGAGCUCCCAUACACUCUAUCGACAAAAGUAAUUGGAACCUGUGAAGACAAAAAAUCGAUCUCAAAUAUCUCCAUUAACACAAUAAAAAACAAGGAGGAGAUGCAAACCAACGAAAGAGACAAAACUAAGAAGAAAUAGUUCAUCAGAGAUCUUAAAACCAAAUGACUAAAUCUCAUGUGUAGUUAGAAGCUAUAGAUAUUUGCCAAGAAGAAGAUGAUAAUCAACCCAUUACAACUAACAGACCAAAUGAUAAGCAACAAGAGAUCAAGUACCUCAGCAAUGUUGUAACCUUUUCGUGUAGCACGAACAAUCAUCUCCAUCUGAAAAACAUAUCCUUUACUCACGCAUGAGCCUAUAACAUCUUCAAGCACGGAUUUCCUAUAAAGCCUUUAGGCAAAAUAACAGUUGUUAGCUAAGGAAGUGGAAGCUUAGGCAGAAGCAACCAGCAUUUGGUAUAUUGGUUUACCGGAAAGAUCCAGUUAGGUCUGAUACACCAGGCCAAAGGAGUGUCUGCGCAAGGACAUUUGCUCCCCUGCUUGUCAAUUUGCGCAUAAGAUUCCAACCAUGCACGCCACCUCCUUUGACAUAUCGUGUUCCAGUAACUAUAUCUGCACCCGUCUCCAUCUGCUUCCUAAACAUCAAAACAUAUUCAGCUACUAUACUUCUAAAACUUGGUAAAAUUAAAUAAAAUUCUAAUACUUGAGUUGAAAGGUUCUUACUUGAUGAAGUUUGGAAGAUAUUUUGGCUGUAAAGCAAGAAAAAGAGAUGCAUUAGAUAACAAGUGAAGCAACAUAUAAGCUAAAUGAACACCAAUAAUAGUUCCACUGAUAUAUAGGCUAAAUGAACAUCAAUAAUAGUUCGAGCGGAAGCGAAAAAACAAAUAAAACACAUGCCUGCAGAAAACCUCAAACACUCACACAUUUAAUCCAAAAGCGAUGCAAUACAAAAACUAAAAAUUGACCCAUGUAGUCUCACUGUGCUCAAAGGCCCUAAUUCAACAAAAUAACUUUCUGUUAAAACUCAGUUUUCCAGUUUGUUAAACACUGCCGCAUAUUAUCUUCUUAACUUACCAAACUUACACCCAAGGUAAAAGACCAGUAUCAAAGCAGCUAAAACUAUUAUGAUUACUAAAUGCACUGUAAAAGAGACAGCUCACCAAAAGUCUAUUAGAAAUGGAAAUACACUUCAGAUCUCCCAAUCAUUUCGUAAUCUUCCACCAACCUCAAGCUCAACCCCAGAAUAAGCUGCUUUCCCCCCCUUGUUCACACCAAAUCCUAAGAAAGCGAGGAAAAAAUGUGUUUCUUUUUGUUCCCCUCCCUUCCUCUUUUUCUUUUUGGAGGCACAAAAAUUGGGGUGAGGACUAUCUUUUUUUUUUUUUUUUGGUGGCGGCCUUUUUGGUUUUUUUUUUUUUGUGGGUUUGUGGUUGGUGUUGGGGGGGGGGGGGGGGGGGGGUUUGAUAGAGCGUCCUCUUCAUCAUUCUAGUGAGUAGGAGUGCACUUACAUGGUGUGAUAAAUCAGCAUCCAUAAUGACCACAAAAUUCCCUGAGGCAUGCUUCAGGCCAUGGAUGUAAGCCGUACCUGAAACUUAACUAAAUUAAUGAUCCCUUUUGCUAGUUCAAAAACUUAAACCAAGGCCAGCCAAAGACAUACCUAAACCAAGCUUCUUAGGUCUAGCCCUCAACAGCUGGAUUAGUAGAUAGCCUUACAUAAGUAGACCUUUCAAAGAGAUAAGCAUAGGCAAAGCAUCAACAACAUUGCGAAUUAAUACUAAAGAGGACUUACAAUGCGAUCCUCUCCAUAGACAGAUUGCAGUUGUUUAACAAUAUCCUGAGUCCCAUCUGGACUUCCAUCAUCCACAACAAUAAUCUCAAAAUUGACAUUCCUAGCCAGGUAAGGACCAAUUGUCAGAUACAAGUAUAGAUCAUGAAGAGAAUGUUGUUUGUCAUUGUUUUAGUGUUAGUGUUUUUCACAUCUUUAAGUAAUAUCUAUCAUCUAAUGUCAAACCAAAACCUAUGAAGCACAAUCUCAAAUAGUUAAUUUCGUACAACAAUUUGGUCCAUGUUAUUCACAUAUUCAGUUGCAAGUCCAAAGCUUCACCUUCUUACACCUAAUGGUUCCCACACCCACUCAUAACUAUAGAGCUGAAUAUGCUCACGGCUAAUCAUCUAGAAGUUUGAGUGGACAAACAAGCAAACUUUUUCACAGCAAAUCAGUUUUAAUCAGCUUAUCCUGGGCAUAUGUAUAAGAAAAACUACACUUUGUUACCAAUUACCAGUCAUGAUUGAGAGAAAAAAGUAUCCAUACAAAAUAUGUGCUACUGUGUGCAUUGCUUAUCAAUUUUCAAACAAUUCUGAAGCUAAGAUUUUGAUACUUCGCAUGAUAUCUAAAUCAAAUACCCAGAAACACUUCUUUCCAAAUUGUAAGUCAAUCACACACACAAAAGCGCGAAUAAUAAUAAUAAUAAUAAUAAUAUAAUGCUAUAAUAAUAGAAAGACUAAUAAUAAUAAUAAAAGCGAAGAAGUGUUCCUGUGUAACAUGGAGAUAAUUAUUUCAGCAGUUCAUAGAUGAUUCUGAUGACCAAGUAAUAAGCUGUAAGAUCAACAAAAACACUUCAUUCAAAUAAACAUAAAUAAACCUUUUGAUGCAUGCAACAAAAAGAUUUAGAACGUGAAAUGAAAAAUUCACAGAAGAUAAGUGUAAAAGCCAAAAGUGCAAUGAAAGAAGCCACUAGACAAACAAAGCAGAGGCAAUGGAACAUGCAUCAUCUGUUUUAUACAUAUAUUCACAGAAAAGGAAAAGGAGAACAUGCAUCAUCAUGGAUAACUUGGUAACAAGAGAGAGAGAGAGAGACAGAGAGAGAGAGGGUACGGGAGAUGCUUGAAGAUGAGAUAAACAAGGAGAGCAAUGUUGAGGCGCUCAUUGUAGGUGGGGAUGAUUAUACUAUACUUAUUGCUAUUCUCCUUUUGCUCAUUGCCCAUAUUCUUUCUGCAUCAAAAUCCCUCCAACCCCUAGAAAGCGCAAAUUUUUAUUGAACUGGGUUAGAGAGAGAGACGGAAGGCAAAAACAAAAACACUUACAGCUAAUGCAAGUUGUAGGUAACAACUGUUAGUAUUUCAAUUCAAACUAAAGUUCCAUCCUAUUAGUUUUGGUUGUUUGUGAUAAUUCAACCCUCUAAUGGAAAAGAUCGAGCUCAUGUGUUCUUCUCAGCAGCUUACUCCACUUAGGUACUUGAUCCCAUCAACCAAAUUGGAUAGCAAAACAAUUUUGGUACAGCUUUAAAAUGCAUAUUUUUCUACCGCAUAAGAUUUUCAUUUAGCUCAUUCUUCUACUUGUCAAAUUAUGCCUCUUCAAUUCCCUUUUGUGUCAGCUGAAUUUCCAAAAGCAGUAUAACUAUCCUAAUUCCUUAUCAGUGAGCAAUAGCUCUAACAAAUUCUUAAAAUUUGACGGAAUAACACGACCGAUCUGAUUAAAAAAAAUCUUCUUUUAGUAUAAUAUGAAGGAAGCCCAUCUUUUCAAGUUCAAUUUCGAUUAGUUCAAGUAAAUUACAUAUUUCAUGCUGAGUAAGAGCAGUAAAAUACCACUGAUGUCCAAGAAUAUAUCCAAAAGGUUGGUAGCUGCUGUAACUACGUGAGACUGUUCGAAGGAGUAGCUCUAACAUAAGGUACCCAAAAUGUAUAAAACAGUCAAUAACGAUUACACAAAGAUUCCCAUACAAAUUCAGCUCUCCAUCUAAACUAACUGAAGAAGCGUAAUGAAAAGCUGGGAAAUUCAAUCAGUUUAACAACUUGAACUGAAAAUCAGAAACGAUCUAACCUUAAAGACGGCAACUUUAUAUGGUUUGGAAGCUUCAAUUAUGCGCAAAUGGCCGAGACUUUGAGAAGGCAAUUAUUGGGUUUAGGGCUUUGAAUUGGGAGUUUGAUAAUAUUAACGAGAGAAGUUCUCUCUUCUUUCGUCUCUUUCGAAAAACCGAGAAAGCAACUAUUGAUGAACGAGUGAUAGCCUCGUGGGAAUAUAAAAGUCAAUCCUUUGUUACCCGUGUUAAUUAAUGAACUGGGCGGGUUAUUUGGGCCUGGUUUCUACCCAUUUGGAUAUGAGUUUGACCCUUGAGGCUAACCUAAUGGUCACUGACAAUCUGCGUUAGAAGCUUGCUAUGCUUGUAUGUAAGUAGUAUAGUCCAAUGCGGAUUCUCCAUCUCCUCCCAUCAUCCCUUGUAAAGUUUUAGAUUAACGUUUAAUGUACAUAUAUUUUUAUAUGAUCUAACUUAAAUUUACACCACAUUAUCUGUAUUCACAUUUGAAAUCUUUUAUAUGUAUCAUAAAUGUAGACCUCCUUGUAUAUGAAACGGUAAUCCAAAAACUGUUUACUUCAUUUAUGUGCCAGUAUUACAUAACAUAUUCAUUUCUUGAAGGUAAUUGCUCUAGUGUUUUUCGAAUAAUCAACAAUGAUAACAAUAAAGAAGCAGACUACUCACAAAGAGUGACAGAGAUCAAAACAUCGAUGAUGAUCAAUUCAGCCAAAUAAUUUCAAAGAAGUUCAAAACUAAAAUUACACUAUGCUGUUAAGCUUUAGCUACACUGGCAACACCAGGAUCGCCACAGCACUAAAGUGAGAAAAAUUUGAACCCCAGUUACUGAAAUAUGGUCCACAGAUCAAUCUUCACCAAAGCUUCUUAGAACAUAAAAAGCUAAUCAAUUUCUAUAGCUCAAUGGUUAAAUUAACACAACCCUGACAGAAAAAUCUCAACUUUAGCAGAGAAAUACAACGGCAUUACAUGAAAUGAAUCCUCAAUAAUCUAAGACUUACAAAAUGGUCAAUCCUCUCUUAAUUAACCCCUAAUGCCUCAGGUGGCCCAAAUCUUUUGUGGCAUUACGCGAAUCACAACUAUUACAGGAAACAAGAAAAGGAAAUUAAAAAAAUAUAACCCAAUUUACCAAAAGAUUAAAAGGGCCAGUAUCACGGGCAAACGACAAUUAUAAAUUAAUUAAAAAAAAAAACUCAGAGGGAGAGAGAGAGAGAGAUCAAAUAAAAAGCCAGAGGAGUAUAGCACCUUCGAUUUAGAGGGAAAUGGGAGAGGUCGGAAAAUGUUUAGAGAGAGGAGAGAUGAGGAGGGUGGUGGUGGACGAUGAUGACGUUGGUCCAACACGCGUUGUCUGAAGAAAGGUUUUAAGGUGAAAAGAAAAGGAAUUAAGGGAGAGGCCCAACGAACGCAGGGUUUGUUGGUGGUAUUACUUCUCCACUUUACUCUUUAGUCUUUUCUGUGUUUCGGAUAAUUUUUACGCUACUAUAAUUGCUUUGAUUAAAAUAAUGGUACGAAGGCUAUUUCUUUUUGACCCCUAGAAGUUUGCUAAUUUCUAAAAACAGCGUGCUAUUUCACUGUAAUAAUUUAUUAAGCACGUGCAAAUUAUUGUGCUUGUGAUACUUAACACGUUGAACUCCAAUUCAUAAGUUUUCCUCUCUCCACAUCUAAUUGAUAGACCGUAUUGUAAACCAACUCUCUUGAUUUUGGUGAAAUUUUGCAUGAUCAAGUGAUUACAUCAACUAAUACUACUGAAUCUAGCAUCUUAUUUCUAUUAAUCAAGUGUAGGUUGUAGCAUUCCUGUACAACAUUUGAGUGAUACAAAAUGAGUCAAAUGAAUUUGAUAUUGGAGAAAUUUUUGGUUUUUCAUCCAUGACGAUGGGCUAAUUAAAAUUGUGAUAGCCUCGUGGGCAUAUAAAAGUUAACCUUUGUUACCCGUGUUAAUUAAUGAACUGGGCCGAGUAUUUGGGCCUGGUUUUUACCCAUUUGGAUAUGAGUUUGACCCUUGAGGCUAACCUAAUGGUCAUUGACAAUCUGCAUUAGAAGCUUACUAUGCUUGUAUGUAAGUAGUAUAGUCCAAUGCGGAUUCUCCAUCUCCUCCCAUCACCCCUUGUAAAGUUUUAGAUUAACGUUUAAUGUACAUAUAUUUUUAUAUGAUCUAACUUAAAUUUACACCACAUUAUCUGUAUUCAUAUUUGAAAUCUUUUAUAUGUAUCAUAAAUGUAGACCUCCUUGUAUAUGAAACGGUAAUCCAAAAAUUGUUUACUUCAUUUAUGUGCUAGUAUUACAUAACAUAUUCAUUUCUUGAAGAUAAUUGCUGUAGACACCAAAUUUUUGGUGUAAUUUCAUUUUUAGUUUUUUAUUUGUCGUGUUCAUUUUUAGUUUUUAGUUUCCAGUUUUAUUUUUAUUUUUAAGUUUUAUCAUAGAAUUUGUUAAAAAAGAAAAAGAAAUAAAAAGCAUUCAAAAAAUAGGUUUUUAGUUUUCUUGGAAAAAUCAUAAAAAAAGGAAAAAGGGAAAUUUGUUCACAAAAAUAUAUUUAUUUCUUUAAAUUCAAUCUUUGGGCACUUUACUUAUUUUUGUUAAGUUAUUUUGAAAAAAAGGAAAAAAAGGAAAAAAAUGAAAAAUGGAAGAUUGAAAGUGUCAUUUUGUUAUUUCUAGUUUUAUUUUUGUUUAUUCAAUCCAAUGUUAAUUAAGUUACUUUUGUUAUUAUUAUUAUUUGAUUAAAUCGGUUAGUUGUUAAGUUAAAAAAAAAAAAAAAAAAAAAAAAAAAGAGGGUUCGCGGCAGGCAGGCUGCAUUCUUUUUGCAGCUUGCCAAGGGCAUUUUCAUGCGUGCCAUGAAGGGGCAGGAUGAAGGCAGAGGCUAGCCUUCAUCCUCGCCAUUCAAAGAAGGGUUUUAGGGGAUUGGGAGAUGGUACAAAAAGAAAAAAACAUCAGCCGCAAAGGGAUCCUUAUCAGGGGAAAGAUAGAAAACAGCAAAAAAAAAAGCUAAGGGAGAAAACCAGCAAAGGGGAAGAGAGAAACACAAGCAAAAAAAAAGAAACCUACCGAGGGGACAGAGUGACGGCGGAAAGAAAAAUCUGGGCCAAAGAGAGAGGGACCAAAGAAAGGGUAAAAACUGAGGAGAAGAUAGAGAGCUUUUGGAGAGUAAGCCGACGGGAAAGGAAGAAAGAAACUGACGAGGGAGGUUUGAGAGAGUGCGGGAAGGUUGAGCAAGCGUCAGGGAGAGCUGGGAAGAAACCAUCAACGUAACAAGAAGAGGGGAAAUCGAAAAUCUGGAGGCCCAUCGCAGCAGAAAGGAGGAACUUUCCUUAGUUUCCUUUGUCCGGUGUCAGUGAUUCAUUGCUCCUCCAUUCAAGCGUUGUUUGUUCACGAUUCCAAGGAGUGAAGGUAACCUCUCAUCUUUUUCGGUCAUGAUUCAGCAGGCUUUCAUUUGACUGUUAAACCAUUUUUUUAAUUUGCUGUAUGCAUCUUGGGAGAUGGGGAACCCGUGUCAUGGCUAUCAAUCUUGGAUGUCCGCUGAUGAAACUGCAAAUUUUAGUUGAUUUCGGAUGAUACCACCAUAGAUUUCACCCGAAACCAGAAACCAUUUGUUUUUCCCCUGUGCGUCCUUCAUGUUUUCACCUUGUUUUGUCUAAAAAUGGUCUGUGUGGCAUUUGUUUUGACUGUUAGAACCCUUAAGAGUUAGAUUCAGAGUCUACUGCAACAAGCUUCAAGCUGUUGGCUUGAUGCAGCCGUUUCGUUUUUUUCCUUUUCUUUCCUUCUCUUGGUUGCUGAAUUUGUAGCGUGUCGGGCAUGUUCUUGACUUGGAAGUUUUGUUGUCAUUCGUAUGAGUUUCUGGUGCUUGAAUAUAAAAGUUGGAAAAUAGGAAGAAUCUUGGGCACUCCUGUGGCUUGCUUUCAUGUUUGCAUUACACCUAAGUUUGAGCAUAAAAAUCUGCUGCCAUGGUUCCUAUUUUCUAUCAAUUGGUUGCAGCAGCCUUUGAUUUGUUUUAUGGCUGAGGUUUGUUCGUUAAUUCUGAGUUGCGCUUGUGGGGGCAGUGGUUAAAUGGUUAUGUUUGUUGUGGUCUUAAUGGAAUGUUUGUUUCUUUUCUUGUUGUGUUUUUUUGCAAUCAGCUAUGAGCAGAAAUUUGCUGCAGUUCUCUUUCUUUUUCUUACUGAUCAAACCAGAUUUGUGAUCUCAAUCUUGUCGACAAAAUCUCAUGUUUUGAUUUGGGUCAAUAGUUUCUGUUUGAGGAAUUUGUUUGUAUGAUGAAAUUGAUGUAGUUAUUGCUGGAAAUUACCGCAAACUUGGAAACCGAAAAUGCAGCAAGUUUCAUUUUGAUUGUUUGAACUAUUUAUUUGAGGUGUUUUGAGAGUUGAUUAACAUGGUUGAGUGGAGCUGAUUCAUAGUUUAGCUUGAAUUGUGUGCUUGCUGUAAGAGGUUGCUUGGGAUUGCUGAAGUUGUGUGCGAGAAACUAUAGUAAAAUGGCCGAAGGAAUGGUUGCAGCUUUGGUCGAAAUUUGCUGAUUGCAUGCAUGCAAAUAUUUUUCCAAAAAUUGCAUUUUUAGACCUCCAAGUCUCCUCUUGUUUCACAAUGACCCAACAAAUGGAAUAAUUUCUUCAAUUAGAUCCCCGUGAUUUUUGCAGUAAUGCUUCAAAGCUCACUAAUGCUCUAAUUUAUUGCUAUUGGGUCAUGAAGUAAUUGCAUUUUAACUCACUUGACUUUCCUUUGUUCUCGGACCUUCAAAAUUCCUAAAAAUAUCUCAAUUGGUUUUGUUUGAUUAGAUUAGUGGUUGCAUUUGGGUCCUUAUCAUGUGCUUUAUUUAGGAUUUGAAUAGGUCAUGCCUUCUCCUUGAUCUUUAAGUAUCUUUUGACUAUAUUUAAGUUGUGAUUGAGGAAUGAUUUGAUGAUUUGAUGAAUGCCAUUUGGAUUAUUUAUAUUUUAUUAUUAAAGUGGUGCCUUGACCUUUUUAUUAUUUUGGAGGGUAAUUGAAUAAUUUCACUUCAUUGGGGCGUCAAUUCAAGGGAGGUACACUCUAUCCCUCAUUUGCACUACAUUUGACCUUACGUGCUCCUACGUGUUAUGUGAAUAUGCAUGUCUACUUCGCUUUCCUUACCUCCUUGCAUGCAUUUACUUGUUUUUUUGCUUUUAUUUUAAGUUUUAUGGGGUAUGUGUACACCUCUUGGCUUGUAAUAGAUAGGGCUCGGAGAGCAUCUGGUCCAUUUCCCCUUCCCCUUUAUGCUUUUAUGGGGUAUGUGUACACCUCUUGGCUUGUAAUAGAUAGUGCUCGGAGAGCAUCUGGUCCAUUUCCCCUUCCCCUUGGUUGCUUGCUUUUGUUGCUACAUGUUUAAUUGCUUUAUUAGGUUCUUGCAUCUAGUCGAGCAUGCUAAAUGCUAUGUGCUAUGUGUUUACGAGUAUUUUGGCAUGUCUACUUGCUUUCAUAGCCAUGAAUGAAUGGAAUGGAUGAAUGUACGUUUCCGCUAGUCCAACGCUAGUCGGAAUUCAUAGAAUGGGCUAGUCCAACGCUAGACCCUUAGGGAUUUCCCCUCAUUAGCAUAUCAUUUGCUUGUUCACUACAUAUCAUGCAUUUUUCCCUAGUUUUAUCAUCUGGCAUGCUCCUCGAGCCCUUUCCCCUCACUUUAGGUUUUGCAUCCCAUACUAGCUAUAGGGUUCAUUUUGCUUGAGUGUCCCCUCUUGAUAAGGGAAACGAGCGAGUGUGGCUACUCGAUAGCCUUAGCACGCUAGUUUCGCCUUCUAAUCAAAGGGAAAAUCAAGUCACGAUUUAGGUCUCCCCGUACCCAAUAUGCAUGAAUUCCCUAGGCUCAUGCAUUCUCAAUCCACUCUAUCAUUACACUUUCACUUUUGUCUCAUUUGCACACAUGCACCCUUUUAUCACUUUCACUUGCACACGAACACUUUUAUCUUCACUCGCACACGAGUACUUUCAUCUACAUUUGCACACCUUCACUCUUAUCUUAUUACUUUUAUCAUUUUUUCACUUCACAUAAACUCACACUUUCACAUGGCAUGCAUUCCACUCAUUUUUCACGUCAUUUAGGUUUAGGUGUGACCUCUCCAAAAGGAUCAUUAUUGGGCUUCACAAUUAAUGUGAUUGGCACCACUCAACCUUUGAAGAGAAAUUUCCCCCAA
rnacentral:lncRNA from 1 species